rnacentral:lncRNA from 1 species
UGCGUCCAUUUGGACCUGAUCUAGACCCAAGUUCAAGUUAAUAUAAUUGUUCUUCCCUAGUGAUACUGGUUGGUCAUAAUGUUGUACCAUCUCUUAGCACAGAAACAGGAUGCGUUCUCUUAUUUCUGAGUGUAUAGCGUUUUAAAUCUCUACCCUCUCCCUUUUUCCUUCCCGAAAGGAUUGGUACUCCUUGACUAUGCUAUUCCAACUCUUCAUUUUUGCUGAAGUACCUGUAUUGACUCAUAUCUGAACAGUGUGUCCGAGGAUAUGACAUUCCAAGGAUUUUCCAAAUACAUGUAAAAACUUAGAAAAUGGAACAUGCUUAUGUUGGACCGGCACUUAUACCAUGAGCUCCACUAAAAAAAGCUUAGGAAAAGCUUUUACCAAAAUAUCUAGCGAUUUACCAAUACUUCUUACAUUGUAAAUCAUUAAAAAUAUUGGUAGUAAAUAGUUAGAAAUAUUGGUAAAUCAUUAGAUAUUUUGGUAAAAGCUUUUCCUAAGCUAAUUUAAGUGGAGCUCAUGGUAGAAUUUCCCAUGUUGGACCCAUACUCACAUCUGGCAUUCAUUUUUAAGUCCAAGUAACACAGCGUGACUAUUUUUCUGUAAGUUCAAUUUCAAUGUCAACCACUGCUUCCUCAUUUAAACACAGGUAUACAUAUAUUCUAGUGGUAGCAGAUUGGCUCAGAGGCUUCUCUUUGGAAAUACAAAAUUUGGUGAUUUGAGAAAGUAUUUAUCUGGAUAUUUUGACACUGCAGUGGGGUAAAUUCACAACAUCCAUCAUAGCUUCCAUUCUUAUCACUUAAUUUUAAUUCAAGGUGACACGUCGUUUUGCGUUCCUUGCCUGCAGAAACAAAAGAGAAAAACGCAGUUAUGUCGAAAUAACCGAUACUUUGGGUGUUGAUAAGCCAUCUGAGAUACUAUUUCUGACUGAUAUCUAUCAAGAAGCCAUUGCUGCAAAAGCUGCAGGUAAUUGUUUUGCUCAAUUUUUUCACCUGUGUAUGCCAGAUUACAAAAGUCAUAGGUUCCACUGUUUCUGUUUUUUUCUUCAUUGUCCAUAUUCUGAGAUAUAAAAUCAUUGUCCAAAGUAAAUGAAACUUUUAUUCAUACUCUUUCUUCCUUUUUUUCUCUUUUGUUGGUUUGUCUGUUUGUUUUUAUUUCCCCCUUAGAUAUCCUGCACUGUUAGAAGAGAAUCUGAAUCAUAUCAUUUCCAUAAACAACAAAAUACCAUAAUAUAAAUAUUAAAAUUUCACUGCACUCCCUUGCAUAAGUUGUCAAUGUUACUCGAACUAGAAAUUAAGGUGAUAUUAUAUACUUGUAUCAUAUUCAUGAUUAUCCAUGUAUUAGGUAUGGAGGCUAUAAUCUCUGUCCGUCCGGGGAACAGUCCACUUCCAGAUAACCAUGGGUUCAAGACCAUCAACUCUUUCUUGGAGGUCUAAUAGAAAUUUUGUACUCCUGUAAUAACAUCAACUGUAACAGUUCAUAUACAUAAUAAAUCACUUUUUAACUGCAAUAAAUCUUGGGUUCCUUACAACCCUUUUAUCAAAAUCUAUUGCUGCAAAUUCUGUUUGUGCGUUCAUUCUGAGUAAUGGGAAUAAUUUCAAUUCUGGGGACGACAACUAAUUUUUCAGACACUCAAGUGCUGGGUACUUCUGUCACCCCAUAAAGUAUCUAACCAGAUAUCUACCAAACAUUAUAUGUCAUAAUAAGGCUUUUGCAGGGNNNNNNNNNNNNNNNNNNNNNNNNNNNNNNNNNNNNNNNNNNNNNNNNNNNNNNNNNNNNNNNNNNNNNNNNNNNNNNNNNNNNNNNNNNNNNNNNNNNNNNNNNNNNNNNNNNNNNNNNNNNNNNNNNNNNNNNNNNNNNNNNNNNNNNNNNNNNNNNNNNNNNNNNNNNNNNNNNNNNNNNNNNNNNNNNNNNNNNNNNNNNNNNNNNNNNNNNNNNNNNNNNNNNNNNNNNNNNNNNNNNNNNNNNNNNNNNNNNNNNNNNNNNNNNNNNNNNNNNNNNNNNNNNNNNNNNNNNNNNNNNNNNNNNNNNNNNNNNNNNNNNNNNNNNNNNNNNNNNNNNNNNNNNNNNNNNNNNNNNNNNNNNNNNNNNNNNNNNNNNNNNNNNNNNNNNNNNNNNNNNNNNNNNNNNNNNNNNNNNNNNNNNNNNNNNNNNNNNNNNNNNNNNNNNNNNNNNNNNNNNNNNNNNNNNNNNNNNNNNNNNNNNNNNNNNNNNNNNNNAUCGCACGGUGCAAAAAACCACUGUAGCGUCAACAUAUGAGUCAACUCUACACUGUCGUACCCGUGAAGCUUUGACCCUGAUCUUCUACAACCAAGUACACUGAAACUUCCCACAGUCGUUACAACUCCUGCCACGUAAGAAAAAGGAGACAUUUAAUAAACCAAUCAAUGGCAAAAUUGGUAAUUCAAAGGAAAAGGAAGCUGAUUAUAUAUUUCUUCACGACUAGGCGCGAAGCCGUAGAGCCAGACAGAACGAUCUCUUUAGUAGAGAAGGAUACUUUUUUUUUUUGGUAUGUCAUCUACAAAGCCGCUGCCACCAUCGCCGCCGCCGUCUACUCAUCGAGCCUAUUAUAACACGCGCAAUAUCAAGUCCUUCCUUAAAUUAUUUUGUAUUGAUUGUUUAAAAUAAAAGAAUAGAAAUUGAGCGUCUUUUGCGGUUUUUCUUUGAUGACUUUUCUUGCUCUUUCUCUCACUUUCUCUCCUCACUUUCUCACUGUCCAAACAGGAAACGAUUGCUUUCUUCUACUGCGAGUUCCGGUUUCUCCAUGGACCCUGAAGUAAUCGAGAUCCCUCCUCCGGUUCCUUACUCUUUUAAGUCUAAUAAGAAAAAGCAGGUCAAACACAAGAUUAACUUAGUUAUUUUCUUUUAAAAAAGCAAUUCUUUUCGCCUUUCUUUAACUUAUUCUAGAAAAAAAAAAUUUCUUAGAAUUAUGAAAUUUGAUUAAAUAUACUGAUCGUUUAGUUGUUGCUUUUGUUAUUGGAAUUUUGAUUGAUCGGUUUAUCGUGGAAUUGUGUUGGUCCUUUUUUUGAUCAUUUAGUAUUGAUUUUUUAGGGUUUAAAGGAGGAAAAUUUUUGAAAAUUUUGCAGAGAAAACUUAUGAUUUCACUUAUCACUGUGUGUUGUGACUGGGAAGUUGGGACUACGUUCUUCCAAUCAUGUUAGUUUGAAGUUACCAAAUUUUUUCCAUCUUACUUUUCAUUUUUUUUGGGGGGUUCCUAACUUUGGUCUUUGUACUAAUAAUAGAAGGGAGUUGUGGCCAAUGUUGUGACUGUUAGAUGUCCUCCCUUAUUUGUUAGGGAACCAUUGCUUGCAGGGCCACGGAACGAACAGUUUGAAACUAUGGGUCCUUCCUUUGACACUGUCUCGGGGAUUUAUAAGAAGCUAACCUUGCUCAUGUAAUAGGCAUGCUUGGUAAUGUAGGUGAUGAUUACUGAGCAUGUUUUCUUGGUUGAACUCUUAUUUAUCCUUGCACCCUAACCCUUUUUGGGUACUUUUUUUCGGUCCCUUUGGUAGAUAAGUUACUAAUAGUUUCAAAUGCUGCGCUUUGAAGAUUCAACUUCCUUUUGGUGUGACUGUGGGUUUCAACUGUGUGUUGGUGGUGUAUAAAAAUGGCUUCGUUUUAGUAGAAGAUCAUGCUUUGCUUUUUAGUUGAGGUUUCAAAUAGUUUAUAUGUGCUUUUAAAAUAUUUCUUAGGUAUAUUUUCUUUUAUCAACUGGAUGAAACUUAUUGAUAUAUGUAUAUAUAUCGUUAGAAUAGAUGUUUGAAACCAAUAUAAUUUGCCUCAAGCACAUUUGUCAAUGCUCACAUGUGGUUUGGUUUGUUAUCAGGCAUUUUUUUAGGACCUCUUUAGUUAUUAGUUUGAGCUAACUGAUCUCAGUUUGAGCUAAAUGUUUGAAAUCAAUAUCCUCAUGCUGAUAAAAUUUUGCAGAUAGUAUUAAGCAUUUAAAUAGGGGUUAAAUUCUGUAAUUGCUUGUGUCUAAGACUGACAAUGUUCAAUAUUUGCUAAAAUUUGGAAAAGGCUAAUGACCUUAACAUUGGUCAUGAUCUUUGUUAUUUGAAUUGGGAAAGAAAGAACAGCAGACAAUCAGUUUUCCACAGAGUAUGUCCAUAGAUCGGAUAGAAUGUUGGCAAAGCAUCUUGCAGUAACUCUGUUACUGAAAUUAAGGUUGACUUGAUGUAUAUUCAGUUUUUUUGAAAAAACAAACUCCAGAUCUAGCUAUCUGCUCCAAGAAACAUCUUGUAUAUGAUAUAAGCUUACUUUCUAGAAAUAGAGACAAUUGCAGGUUUAUCAAAGCCUUACUUUUUCUAUUGCGUUAUGUGUUUUUAACUUGUGUCUUGCACAAUCUUGUUGUUCUUUAGAAAAAUCUUCCUCAUGUUUUACUUGAAAAAUUUCUGUUUCAUAUCUUGGUAGGUUGUUAUUCAUGAAGUAAUUGAUGUAGAUAAUGAUGGAGAUUCAAGUGAUAUAGUGAUCCUCGAUGAGAGGGUUGAUGUAAGGAACAAAGGGAAGGCAGUGAAAGGUAGCUCUGGUAUCUAUAAUGCUAUUCAAGCUGAGGUAUGUGAGAGAUUGGAGCGUUCUUGCUGUAGUUACUGUUUACUGUGCCUAACAUCAAAAUUAAUGUAUAUUGGAUCUCUGAUUUUGUUUACUGUUUUCCCAUUUCUCCUCAGGACUUUGUGGCCAAAUCUCCUGCUUCAUUAAACAAGAUUGAGCCUUCUAAACAUUCUACCCAAGGAUCACAUAAUAUAUAUAACCUUGAUUGUGAUUUGACCUAUGAUGAUGAUUUCUUUGAUAACUAUUACGGGAAUGACUUCAUGGAUGUUGAUGAGUAUGCCAUGUUGCAAGCACAUUUUGAUAAUGUUGAUAUUCCUGCUGGAGUAGAAGCAUCCAUCCCUUGGUUUGCUGACUUUUCUGAGAGGAAAAAGGAUACUUCUCAUGUAAACAGUCAAUCAAGUGUUAAUACUUCUCACUCAAAGACUCAAUUGAGCGCUAAUGGGAAUGACCAGUCACUUUCAUCAUGGUUGUCAGAGCCUGCUCAUAUGAAGAAGGCAGCUUUAGUUAGUAGUUCGAGUUUCCAUAACCCAGCAGAUCCUGUGAGUCAUUCUCCUGGAGAAGUAAUUGUUCCUUCUACUUUGUUAUUUCCACAAGGUUCUCAAAGUAAGAAGUCAGCUACUUCACAACUUAAAUUGAGCAGUCAAAGUCUUCCAUUUUGGAAUUCAUUCCAGCCUUACCAGGUUGGUGGUUCAAAUAAUGGUAGUAAUGGGAGUCACUCUGAUUCAAUGAUGCUGCCUCAUGCAGUAAAUCCAACUUAUUUGGGUCACUUUAGUUCUGCUGCAAAUAAGCAAAUUGGUGCUGGUAGUUUGAAUUCAAAUUUUCCUACACCUAUAGAUCUAAAUCACACCGUGGUUGCAGAACCGUCCAUGCCUUGGUGGCCACCCCCGAUGAAACCAAAAUAUAAUUUCAAUAAGCACAAUAACUAUACAAGUUUUCCUGAUCCAGUUGAUGGUGUUUACAUUACUCCUCAAGAAGUGGCAGAUAUCAGAAACCAGAAAAAUGUAAACGAAGAAGAGAUCCUCAGUAAGUUCCAACUUUUUAAACAGUUUGAUACUGUUGAAGAUUUUUCAGACCAUCACUAUGCCUCUGGUGGUGCUUCAAUGAAGCAGGUGAGCAGCCUUUCAAGUUGUAUUUAGGUCUUCCCCUUUUAUAGUUAUGUUAAUUUUUCAAUCAGUGAACUUGUUUCUGUUAUUCUCUUGGCGGCAGCCACCGAAGAAUUGGGCAAAGAAGAUUCAGGAGGAGUGGAGAAUUCUUGAGAAGGAUUUACCAGGUGAUUUUUAAGUGUUGAAUUAUUCUCCCAGAGAGUGUCCAUUUGAUAACUUGUUCUUUCUUGUUUUCAUCCCUUCUAAACAAAUGUGUCAUUUAGUGAAUGCUGCAAACCUGUAUUGUGAUUCAAAAUGAUCAAGAUUUUCAUGAAAUAUUAACAGCUGAGAUCGUUUACUUUUCUUGCAACAAUUUCCCUUUGUACUGAUGGAAUGUAUAAGUAACAUUGUUUCUUACUCAAUCCCGUUUCAACUUUUUCAACAGACACUAUUUUUGUUAGGGUUUAUGAAUCAAGAAUGGAUCUCUUGAGGGCUGUAAUUAUAGGAGCAGAGGGCACUCCCUACCAUGAUGGUCUCUUCUUCUUUGAUGUUUUCUUCCCUGCUAGCUAUCCUAAAGGACCCCCUGUAUGUAAUUGUGGUUUAUGAAUUUGAUUGUAUCUUGUAUGAUCAUUUUUUCUGGUAUAUGUGUUUGGACUGAUUAAUAAGAAUUGUUUUUCAGCAAGUUUAUUACCACUCUGGUGGACUGCGCCUUAAUCCAAAUUUGUACAGUUGUGGGAAAGUAUGCCUUAGUCUUCUAAACACAUGGUCUGGUAAUAAGAAUGAGAAGUGGAUACCUGGUAUGUCUACCAUGCUCCAAGUUCUGGUAUCUAUUCAGGCUCUAAUCUUGAACCAGGAUCCGUACUUUAAUGAGCCUGGUUGGGCUCAUCAUAGAGGCACGCCACAAGGUGAAUUACUGUCUCGACAAUACAACGAGGAUACAUUCAUAUUGUCACUGAAGACAAUGAUCUACUCAAUGAGGAGGCCACCAAAGGUAAGUUGAAAGAACUAUUUUCUUGAUAUUUUCGGUGGUGUAUAUAAGCUGGAACCCGGAACUAAUAGUUUGGAUUAAGAUAUUCCUAUUAUGAUAAUAUAGGGCAAUUGCUUCUCUUUGGCUUAAAUUCUAAUAGAGCAAUGUUUGGCUGCAGCAUUUUGAGGAUUUUGUAGUGGGCCAUUUCUACCGUCGUGCUCAAGAUAUACUUGUGGCAUGUAAAGCAUACAUGGAUGGUGCUCAGGUAGGUUGCCUGGUAAAAGGCGGGGUUCAAGAUGUUGAUGAAGGUGACAAGAGCUGCUCACAGAAGUUUAAGAACUCUGUCUCCGGAUGUGUAAAUAUGCUGGUGAAGGAAUUUACGGUACUUGGAGUAAAGGAUUGUGAGAAAUUCCUCAUUGUCCCCAAAUGUCAAAACAAUCGAGUUGAUAGUAUUCCCAAGGUUCCAGUAUCGUGAACUACUUUUAAAAUAAAAAUUUUGAAACUUGGUUUCAUUUAUAAAUAUGAAUAGUAGUUUUAACUUGAGUCCUCAGCUAGUAACUUAGAAUUGAUUUGAGAAGUGUCCUAUACUUUCCUUCAUAGGAUGCUCACAUACAGUCUCUGACGUACAUUGAUCCCUUUUAUGGAUAGUGGUUAUCGGUUCUUACCCGAAUCUGAAUUAUCAAUCUCCAACUAUUUCUUCUACCUCAGCUACUUUGGUUAAAUGGUAUUUGCAGUUGCUACCGAUGAUUCUCAUGAUUUUCAGCAUCUACGAGCUAGUAUGUCCAUUAAUCUGGUCAAAGAAAACCAAAGUUCAAUGGAUGACCAAUUUAUUAUUUUACAUAUAUAAAAUUUAACCCAUGUAUGAGAAAUUCUCAUCCUUCCAAUAUUUCAUCUUAAUAUUUUAUAUAUUGUACAAUUUAUGUCAACAUUCAAGAGGUUGCGUUCUCACUAAUUCCACCAAUGCCUCCUUGGCAUAUAUGUAUAUCAGUUUCCAGCAGAAAGGAGAAUAGUGUUAUUCAGCAAACUGACAAUGCAGGCCUGUUAAAGAAAAGCAUCUAAGGUGAAAAUCCAUCCCACUUGGGGAAGUUUCAACGACUUUCUGGACCUUCGAUGCAGUCUUUGUCUAUUCUGUAAUAAAAAAAUAUUUCGAUUUUGGAUGCUUGAACCAUAUAACAUGUAGACUUGAAAAUGACAAAUUCAACAAAAAAUCAUUUAGACAUCAAAAACUGUUUGUUCCUUCUUUGAAAUUACGAAGGCAAUGAAACCUUCAAUCUUUCUAUGGCUAUGUACAUUCAAAAUUUCCUUUCUGUUCAUUAGUUUGUCAGUGAAACCUGUCUCAUCUGUUAUAGACUCUUACUCUGAUCAUUGUUUAACGACUGUCCCUGAACCAGUCCCCAACUCUGAACCUCUUGAUUACGAAUUCGGUCCAUUUGGUCCAUCCCAAUCUGGUUUUUACUAUUUUGGAAAUUUGAGAGUUGUAAGUACAAAUAUAACGAGGUAUACAAAUUCAUUUUCGUUUUACACCACUGAGGUGAGCCAAACCGAUAAAGAUGGUGUGUUUAUGAUCGAAGGAAGCUUCGAGCUCCAAAAUCCUUUUGUUUUACACAGCUUCUUAUACGAAGAUGGACCAUCAAAAGGUUCAGUUCUCACACCUCACACGCCGCCUGUGGUCGCUGAUUUUACAAGUCCGUUCAUUUUGAAGCUGCACGGCUUCUGGUCCAAAUCUUCGGGGGAACUUUGUAUGGUUGGAACAGGUUCUUCAUACUUCAAAGAUGGUAAUCUGCUUACACCUGCAGCCGUUCUUAAGCUUCAUAAUAUAAAGAAUUCAAGUAAUAUUACUACUUUGAUUACUGGCACUUUGAAGAGUUUGAGUCCUAUCAAUGAUAACAAUUACUUUGAGCCCAUCUCCUUAAUGACGGUUCCACAAAUGAAUUACAGCUUCACCUUUGCGUCUGGAGAUUCUGGUGACAAAUUUUCCAGUGAAAGUGAUCUCGAAGAGAAUUUAUCUAUGUACAAUAUACUGCGAGGAAGAUCCUUUUGUUAAAAGUUGUUGGAGCUGAGAGCAACUAACAACAAGUUUCAGCCUAUUGCUUGAGCAGCAAGUGUCGUGACUUGCAGCAGAAACAAGCAGAAAGCUAAAAAGAAUAAAGCAAGAAGAAUGGAGAGAGUUUUUGAAUGAAAACUUGAUUAAAUUCAUUCAUCAAAAAAAUGGCUUGAUGCCAAUACAUAAAUCAAGCUUCUAGCUUGUCAAGACAGUAGGUUAACCAAAACCAUACCUACUACCACUAAGUUUCCUAGUAAAUUGGAAUAAUAACUUGUGCAAAUGAAUAAAGCUGGUAAACAGCUCAAUCACCAUCAAGAUUACAUCAAAUAUCAUCUUAUCAUAGUUCAAAAUGAACUAGAUUACAUUACAUAAACAAAAAAAAAUUCAAAUGAAACUAAACAUCCUUGCUUUCUCGUGCAAACUGCUGCUUCUGCAUGGUGGUCUUCAAUGCUGCAUGCUAACCACCUUUCAACACUCCUCCUUGGUUAGCAUGUUGCUAACUCCCAUCUUCAUUCUUAAGCUUUGAAACCUUGAAACAUUAAGAGGUUUUGUUAAAAUAUCAGCUAAUUGUUCAUCAGAACUGCAAUGAACCAGUUUUACUUCAUGAGCUUGUUGCAUUUCUCGAACUGCAUGAAGCUUAAUGUUAAAAUGUUUUGUCCUCCCAUGAAAAACAGGGUUCUUUGCAAUUGCAACAGCCGAUUGAUUGUCACACAUUAUCUCUGUUGCUUCCUCUUGUUCAAGGUUGAGAUCGACUAGAAUUUUUCUAAGCCAAAUGGCUUGAUUGACUGCUGCAGCAGCUGCUACAUAUUCUGCUUCUGCAGUAGAUUGAGCCACCAGUGCUUGUUUCUUUGAACUCCAACAAAAUACUGCUGAGCCAAGAUUGAAAAAAUAGCCUGAAGUGCUUUUCAUAUCGUCCACUGAGCCUGCCCAAUCACUGUCACUGUAACCAAUCAAUUUUGAAUGCUUAGCCUUGGUAUACAACAUUCCAUAGCUCAAGGUUCCCUUAAUGUACCUGAGAAUUCUCUUGCCUGCUUUAAAAUGACUUUCAUUGCAGCAAUGCAUGAAUCUCGAGAGUAAGCUCACAGCAUACAUUAUGUCUGGUCUAGUGGCAGUAAGAUAUAACAAACAACCAAUCAGACUUCUGUAAGUUGUCUCACACACUGGUUCAAAAAUCCCUUGACUCGAUAGCUUUUCUCCAACAGCUAUUGGUGUGUUGGUAGCUUUGCAAUUCUCCAUUGAGAAUUUUCUAAGAAUCUUCAUAGCAAAAGUCUUCUGACUUAGCCAAAUUCCUUUCUCAGCUUGCGUUACUUCCAUGCCUAAGAAGUAGGACAUCAACCCAAGAUCUGACAUAUCAAAAUGCUGUUGCAUUUUGGCUUUAAAACUGACCAGCAUAUCUUGAUCUCCUCCUGUCACCAAUAGGUCAUCGACAUAUAAUGAGACAAUGAGCUGAGUUUCUGCCUUGGUCUUUUUGACAUACAGAGUUGGCUCGCUAAUACUCCUCUCAAAUCCCAAACUGAUCAAAUAGCUGUCAAUCCUGCUAUACCAGGCUCUUGGAGCCUGUUUCAAGCCAUACAAGGCUUUGUUCAGCUUAUAUACCAUAUCUUCUCUACCAGUCACUUCAAAACCUUGAGGUUGUUCCACAUAAAUCUCUUCUUCAAGGGAUCCAUUUAGAAAUGCUGACUUUACAUCGAGCUGGUGUAUCUUCCACUCCCUUUGUGCUGCUAAUGCCACUACCAAUCUGAUGGUGUCAAGCCUGGCCACUGGUGCAAAAGUUUCCAGGUAGUCUAAUCCAUACCUUUGACUAAAGCCUUUGACAACUAACCUUGCCUUUAAUUUGUUUAAGCUUCCAUCAGCAUUCUGCUUGACUCGAUAAACCCAUUUAACUCCAAUGAUUUUCCUGUUUGCUGGCCUUUCAACUAGAUUCCAAGUUUGAUUCUUUUCUAUCAUGCUGAUCUCUUCUAUCAUUGCUUGCUUCCAGCCUUGUUGACUUUCUGCCUCUUCAAAGCAACUUGGUUCUACCAUGGUUACUUGAGCUCUUUCAUAAACAUCAGCCAAUGAUCGAGUUCCUCUGAUUGGUUCAUCAUCCACAUCCAUUUCAAAUGUGUCUUGAUUAGUUCCAACUUGAUCAGAUGCAAGUUCUUCAGUUACAGCCUCUGGUUCAUUUUUAUCCCAGUUCCAGCAUGCCUUCUCAUUGAACACAACAUCUCUACUCACAAGGAUCUUAUUUGUAGAAGGUUCCAGCAUUCUAUAGCCCUUUUUAACUGCACUGUAGCCUAUCAGAAUCCCUGCUUGAGUUCUUUUAUCCAGCUUUCCUCUUUUCACAGCUGGAACUUGUGCAUAACAUAUGCAACCAAAGGUUCUGAGAUGAGCCAGUGAUGGUUUGAACCCAAACCAAGCUUCAAAUGGAGUCUUCUGAGCUAGGGCUUUAGUUGGAAGUCUAUUUUGAAGAUAAACUGCAGUGUUUACUGCUUCAGCCCACAGGGUUUUAGGCAGAUUUUUCUCAAACAGGAGGCACCUUGCCAUGUUCAUCAAACUUCUUUUUUUUCUUUCACUGACCCCAUUUUGUUGAGGUGUAUACACAUUGGUCAGUUGGUGUUUAAUGCCUGCAUUCUUACAAUAGAGUUGAAACUGAGCUGAGGUAUACUCAGUUCCAUUAUCUGACCUUAGUGUCUUAAGUUUGUGGCCAAUUUCAUUUUCAACAGCAGCUUUGAACUUCAAAAACACAUGAGCAACUUCUGAUUUUUGUUUCAUAAAGUAAAUCCAACAAUAUCUUGUAUGAUCAUCUAUGAAAAGAAUAAAGUACCUGUUCCCAUUAAGAGAUUCGGUCUUCAUUGGUCCACACACAUCAGUGUGUACAAGCUGCAGCUUCUCUGAUGCUCUCCAUGCUGUGUUUGCAGGAAAUGACAAUCUUGCUUGUUUUCCUUGCUGGCACACUUCACAAAUUUCAUCAUUCUUCACUGUUUUGAUGAAGUUUUCAGCUAAUUCUUCAUUAAUCAUCUGAGCCAUUGAUUUGAAGUUAACAUGUCCAAGCCUCUGGUGCCAUAGCUUGGAGUCAUCAAUGGAGGCAAUACAGGCUGAAUGUGAGUCAUCUGGCCAUUCCACUUCAAAACACUUGUCAGUCAUGGUGACUGUCAUGAAAUUUGAUCCAUUUGGAUAAAAAAUUUGGCAUUCUUUCUGCUUAAACACAACUGAGUAUCCUUUCUCUAGAAGUUGAGCUAUGCUGAGAAGAUUUCUGUCAAUCUCAGGUACUAAUAGCACAUUCGAGAUGACUUUGAUGCCUGUAGGAGUGUAUAUCUGCACAUCCCCUUUUCCUUCAGCCUUUAUAAACUGACCAUUUCCAAUUUUUACUUUGGUUUUACAGGUUCUGUCCAAAGUUUUGAAAAUGGUUGCAUCUGGUGACAUGUGGUUUGUGCAUCCACUGUCCAGCAACCAACCUUUUGAGCAUUUCUUCUCAGCAGCUAAGCAAGAAACAGCAAAGACCUGCUCUUCUUGAUCACUGCUGUCCUCAGCUACUCGAGCUUCAACCUUUGGUUGUUGAAAUUGACUCUGCCUUGGCUUGGUUUUAUUUUUGCAAACCCUUUCAACAUGGCCCUUCUUCUUGCAGUGUUGGCAUACUGCAUCUGGUCUGAACCAGCAUCUGUCUUCUGGAUGACCUGGCCUCUUGCAAUGUCUGCAGGGCUGGUCAUUGCUCCUUGCAGUAUCAGGCUUAGGCCUGCUUUUCCAAGGCUUUUUACCUCUUGGAGCAUUUAUGCUCGAGGCUUCUCUGGCCUUGGCAUUGAAUGCACCUUCCUGGUGGUCUUCAGCUCUGCUAGCUCUCCUUUGUUCCUGAGCAUAGAAAGUGUUGAUUAGCUCAGUCAAAGAGAUGGUAGCAAGGUCUCUUGGGUCCUCAAGAGAGGAUAUCUUGGCCUCAUAUCUCUCAGGUAAGGUGGAUAUGACUUUCUCCACUAUUCUGGCUUCACUAAACUGCUCUUCUAGGAGCCUUAUGCUGUUUACAACAGCCAUAAUUCUGUCUGAAUACUGCUUGACUGUUUCUUCUUCUUUCAUCUUGAGAUUUUCAAAGUCCCUUCUCAAGUUGAGAAGCUGUUGUUGCCUUGUUCUCUCAGUCCCUUGAAACUCUUCUUUCAGCUUGUCCCAAGCCUCCUUUAGUGUUUCACAAGCCAUGAUUCUUGUGAAAAUCACAUCUGAAACACAGUUUUGUAUGCAUGACAUGGCCUUGUGCCUUUUUGUUCUUUCAUCAGCAUGUUGCCUCAUUUGAGCAACUGUUGGAUUUGCUCUGAGAGGUGCUGGCUCUGCAUCUGAAUUGACUACCUCCCAUAGGUCGAAUGCCUGCAGGUAAGUCUUCAUUUUGACUACCCAAAUAUGGAAUCCUUCUCCAUUGAAGACAGGUGGUGCAACUGGUGAAAAUCCUGAAGAAGCCAUCAGGUUCCUUGGUUUGAACAACAGGUCCACUAAGACAAGGGCUCUAGAUACCAAUUGUUGGAGCUGAGAGCAACUAACAACAAGUUUCAGCCUAUUGCUUGAGCAGCAAGUGUCGUGACUUGCAGCAGAAACAAGCAGAAAGCUAAAAAGAAUAAAGCAAGAAGAAUGGAGAGAGUUUUUGAAUGAAAACUUGAUUAAAUUCAUUCAUCAAAAAAAUGGCUUGAUGCCAAUACAUAAAUCAAGCUUCUAGCUUGUCAAGACAGUAGGUUAACCAAAACUAUACCUACUACCACUAAGUUUCCUAGUAAAUUGGAAUAAUAACUUGUGCAAAUGAAUAAAGCUGGUAAACAGCUCAAUCACCAUCAAGAUUACAUCAAAUAUCAUCUUAUCAUAGUUCAAAAUGAACUAGAUUACAUUACAUAAACAAAAAAAAAUUCAAAUGAAACUAAACAUCCUUGCUUUCUCGUGCAAACUGCUGCUUCUGCAUGGUGGUCUUCAAUGCUGCAUGCUAACCACCUUUCAACAAAAGUUCUCAAACCUUGCAAUUAAAUAUGUAUUUAAUUUGGAGUAUACAGGCUGUAGAUCCAACAAGAAGUGCCUCCCUGUUGGUGGGGUGGUUCAAAAUUUGCCUGGUUCUAUAUCUUUUGGUGUCAUUAAUUGUACUGAUGUUGGAAAGAGAGUUCGGGUUUUCCUAAAGUUUGAUGAUCAUACCAAGCUUUCAAGGCUCGACCAGCGUUUCAAUCCCGACACAACAUUGAUUGGAGAAGGAAUGUGGGAUGACAAGAAGAAUCAGUUGCAUGUUCUGCUUUGUCGGUUUCUCGGCAGAGCAAACUCUUGGUCUAAUGCUUAUGUUGGAAAUUGCACAACAAGGUUGAGCUUGACGUACCCUGCAAUCUUGUCAAUUAAAGAGACCAGUACCAUAAUGGGGAAAAUUUGGAGUAACAAAACUGUGCAUGAUUCAGGGUACUUUGAAAAAAUCGUGUUUCGAAGUACUGAGUUUCUCAUUGAGGGUCUUUAUAGUUUGAAGUAUGAAUACACUGAACUUGACAGGGUAAGAAAUGAAUGCCCGGAAAGGAAGCUUGACAGAAACAGGAGACAAAGAUACCCUAGACCCUAUUCUUCCGAGAUGAAGUUCGACAUGUCUGUUAGAAGUUCCGAAGGAAGGACUGCUAGUGGUUCUGCUGAUGCUCUCACUGUCAAUAAUCAGUUUUGCAAGCAGGCCGGCAUAGCACUUACGGUUAUCCGUAAUGAUGACUUUGAGAGGCCUACAAGGUGGGAACCUCAAGGCCGAGCCAAUAUUAGCUAUAAGAUAGAUAUCAAAUGGCACACUUCUCAGAAGUUAGCUACUAAAAAUUAUGUAUCUGUUGUACCUGAUGAGAAAAUGGAGAUUACUGCUGAAGGGGUUUAUGAUGCUGACACCGGAGGCUUGUGUAUGGUUGGUUGCAGAAAGUUUGCAUUGACUGAUCGAGCACUUGGAAAUACUUCAAAUACUUCUAUAGACUGUGAGAUUCUUCUGAACUUUCAAUUUGCUCCUGUAAAAGGGUUUGAGAAUGGAGGGUAUAUAAGGGGAAGAAUCGAAAGCACACGGGACAAAUCUGAUGAUCUUUACUUUGAUCCUCUAGAUGUGUCUUCAGUUGCUUACAGCAGGGAACAAGCUAGGCAUACUAUUUGGGCAAUGGAUCUUGAGAUUGUGAUGGUUGUAAUAUCUCAAACACUUAUAUGUCUAUUUCUGAGAUCUCAGGUCUAUCAUGCGAGAAGGCAUCCUAAAACACUCCCUUUUACUUCACUGGUUAUGUCUGUGAUCCUUACCAUGGGCCAACUGAUUCCUCUGGUGCUUAACUAUGAAGCCUUAUUCUAUCGGAAACGUGAUCAGGAUACCAUGUUGUUUCAAACCGGUGGAUGGCUCGAAGUGAAUGAGGUAAUCAUAAGGAUAACUUCAAUGGUAGCAUUCUUGUUGCAAUUCCGUAUUCUCCAACAAGCAUUUUCGAGUAGAUCAAAUGAUGGAAACGGAAAAGGCCUAUGGUUUGCUGAGAAAAUGACCUUGCUUGUCACACUAUCACUGUAUGUUUCUGGUGCAUUAAUUGUCCUGCUUGUCUAUAGGGGGAACUAUAAACGCGAGAUCGUUUUGCUUCCCACUCGUCCGGUCGACUACUGGCAGCGUUCAACUUUGGAUGACCUGAAAUCCUAUGCAGGUUUAAUCUCAGAUGGUUUCCUUCUUCCCCAGAUACUGUUCAAUACGUUCUCAAACUCUAGAGAAUAUGCACUUAGCCCCUUGUUCUAUAUCGGUACGAGUCUGGUUCGGUUGCUGCCACAUGCAUACGAUCUUUAUUGUGACCACACCUAUGUUGAAUACAAGGGAACAUUCAUUUAUGUGAACCCUGCUAAGGAAUUUUUCUCUACUGCUUGGGAUGUGAUUAUACCUAUUGGUGUUUCGCUAUUUGCUGUAACCAUUUACUUGCAACAGCAAUUUGGUGGUUGCUGCAUUGUUCCAAAGAGAUUUAGAUGGCGGGAAAACUAUGAAAAAAUCCCAGUGGUGGGUCAAUCAUAAGUCCCUUACAAGUUUAGUGCUUCAUUUGGUGUGUAUUUCCCAGUUAAUGUCUAUCUCCUAUAUAUAUAUAUAUAUACCUAAACCUCUUUGUGGUUCUAUAUAUCUAUUUAUAAAAGUACCAACCCUAAAAUUACAAAUAGUGAACAGCAUAUUUACUCAUGAUCUUUUUUUUUUUUUACAAUUAAGUAUUCAAACUGUAAAUAUGCUAUUGAUAAUUUUAAAAUAUCCAAAUAUUAAUUAAUUCUAUUUUUAUUAAAUUAAAAUAUCAAUUAAUUUUAUUCAUUGUAUUAUUUCAUUAAAAUUCUUAUUAAUGUAAAAUUCUUAUUAUUUAAUAUUUUAUUCUUCUAUUUAAUAUUUUUUUUAUUUGUACUUUCCCUUUUAAACGUAUAUACCAAGUUCCCAAUUAAAAUGAGAUGUGUAGGGAGUAGGAAGAAUAAUAGCACAAGAAAAAAAGAGAAAAAAUAAUAAUAUUUUCAAUGGUAAUCUCGACAAAUUAGAGGAGAUUUGACAAGCUCUUUAUAUUUUAAUUUAAUUAGAUUUCCUUUUAAUUCGGCACAAGACCUUUUUUUUACUUCAAGAUUUUAGGACUUAAUAAUUUUUAAAAUUUAUAUCAAAAUAAUUUUUAAAAAUUAAAUAUUCAAAUUGUAAAUCAUUUUACUUUUAUUAAUUUAAUUGGUGGUAUUGUUUGUUUAAAUCUUUUCUUAAUGUGAAAUUUUUCUAUUUAAUAUUUUUAAUUAUAUUUUUUUGUCAAUUUGAAUUUUUUUUGAGUUAUCAAUCUUUUAAAAUAGUCGAAUUUGACCAUUAGUCUUUCAAAAAUAGUCAAAUUGCUAUUUUUUAAACAUGAUAGCCCGCAUGACAAUUCAUAUGUACUUCAUCCUAAUUUUUUAAAUUUUUUAUAUUUUUUUUAAUUUUGAGUCAUUUUAUUUUAUUUAUUUAUUUGAAGAUAUUUAUAAUUGUUAAAUUAUUGUUGACAUGACAUACAAGACACAUAGUAUCAUGUCAACAUUAAACACACGUGAGCUGCUGCACAGGUGUCACGCCAACAUCAUUAAAAAAAUGAAUAAGGAAGAAAUUAACAAAAGACAUAAAUGUUGAGGGCUAAAUUUAUCAUUAUGCCUUAAAAAAAUUAGUGGCGCGUAAUUCUUUUUAUAUUCUUAAUUUGUUUUUAGUUUUUGUCAACUUAAUACACCAACACUGGACAAUAAUGAUUCAUAGGUAUCUUCAAUUAAUAUGGACACAAAUUCCUUGAGCUCAUAUACCUUUGGAGAUGAAAAUAGAUAGUGAUGGUGAAACUCAAGAAAGAAUUCAAGAGGAUAAGCUUCUAUAUAUAAGUAAAAACAAAGAAAAUGAAAACUCUAAAAGAGAUUGAGUAUGAACUUUGGCCAAGAGUGAUUGUUAGAAACUUGAGAAAAAAGAAAAGAAAAGAACAAACAAAGGAGAGAGGUACAAUCAUCGAUUAAAAAAAGUGUGAAAUACGAAGAUGAGUCUCUUACUAAUUGAUGGUUGUAAAACUAAUUAAAAAUUCGACUAAGGCAAGCGCGUCUAUCGAACAGUAGUAUAGUUAUGGUGAGACCGAAAAUAUCGUAUCCACGAGGACUAAAAGUACUAGUAAUUAUUAUCUUUUUAUUAUCUAGCCUAACAAUUAAGAGAAUUUUUAAUCUAAAAUUAAUUAUCUAAUUAGCUAAGAUUGCGACAGAGAUUAAAGUUGGAAAAUACUUUUGGAAAACCGAUGGAGAAGACAAUACCCAAGGAAGAAUUCACCUAAACUUCACUUAUUACCUCUAAAUUAGAUGAUUUAUUCACUUGACUUAAUCCGUAGGAAUCCCUGAUUUUUGUUAAUAUCUCUCUCGAGACUAAAAACAACUGACUCUAGGUUGAUUAAUCGAAAUUCUUUCUAAUUAAAACUCCUAUUGUCGCAUUAACUCGAUCUAUGGAUUCCCUUAUUAGAUUUGACUCUAAUCCGGCAGAUUUAUUUCGUCCUAUUUCUAGGAUUGCAUGCAACUCAGCUUAAUUAUGGGCGAUCUACUCUUAAACAAGGAAUUUUCCUCCUCUGAAUAAGCACAUCAAAAACCUGAAUUAAUAUCCUGGAAUAUUAAAGCAAGGGUUAAUUCACAAUUAAAAAUAAGAACAAAUAUUUAUCACAUAAUUCAAAUAGUAAUAAGAUUCGUCUUAGGUUUUAUUUCCCUUAGGUAUUUAGGGAAUUUAGUUCAUAACAAUAGAGGGAAACAUCUCAAAAUUAGGAAAAUAACAAAACAUAAAGAAACCCAAAAACUUCGGUAGAAAUUGAAUGGAGAUCUUAAGUCUUGAAAGAGAUCCUGCUUCUGGGAUAUUCUGAUGGCUGACCUUGAGUGCUUUCCGCGUUCUACUCUCCCUGUCUCCCUUCAAUCCUCUUCUAGGGUGUUUAUAUAGACUUUGGAAUGCCCAAAUUAGCCCAAAAUUAGCCUUUUUCCGAGUAGAAUUAGACUUAGGCUCGAUAAGGACACAGCCGUGUGCCAUGCGCCGUAUGAAGGUGCUCAGGCAGUGUGCAAUUCUGACUUGAUUUAAUGUCGACAGGCCAUGACACACAAGCAUGUGGUCUACCCGUGUGUCACACAUGGGCGUGUGGAUCACUCGCGUGGAAGUGCCUAGGCCGUGUGCCACGCUGAAUUAGGCCCAUUUUGCCCGAUUUUGGCUCGUUUCUUGCUUUUUUCGCCUUCCUAUACUCAUCUAAGUGUAAAACAUGAAUUUAAAUGAUUACAAGCAUCGAAUUCAAUAAAACCAAAGAAAAAUCAUCUAUAAAUAUGCCAAGCAUGGGGUAAAAAUAUGUAUAUACUCUAGUUUAUUACUAAUUCUAAUAUUCAAAUCACAUGAGAAUUUUGUGCAAAAACGCAAAAGAGACAUAAAGGAUAUACAAACUUAUUCUUUAGUGAAUUGUGAUGAUAAGUUAAUCACUAAUAAACUUAACCUUAAAAUCAGAAUUUAAGAUUUAAUUUAUUUACAUAAUUUUUUUCAAAAAUAAUCUUUUGAUGUUGGAUUGUCUAAUCAUGAGAUUCACUCAUUGAACAUUGAGGAUGUAAAUAGUAAAAUUAAGUAAACAAACAUAAUGUAGAGCCCAAUUUUGGCCCGGGCCCAAACUAAUAAAAACUAAAAGCACAAAAAUAAAUAAAGUCCAAGUUCUUAACAGUCCAUACAAAGCCCAAAUUUUACAACUUAACCUAAAACUAAAACAAGCCCAAACUUAUGGGGCCCAAAAGGCCCAAGAACCUAAACCUAAACAGAAACCCUAGGGUGUAAUACCCCUACCCGUAUUCAUUGCCGAAAUAGGGUACGAGGCAUUACCGGAGUUUACGAAUUAAUUUUUUUUUAUAUUCAAUAUAGCCCCUUUAUAAAUAUCUAACCUUUCCUGCAAUAUUAAAUCGAGACCAAUCCACAUCAACCAAAUCAAUUCAACAUAUUUUCAAGAUAAAUUCAUGCAUAUUUAUAAGAUAACGUCAUCACAUAUCUAAAACCAGGUUUGUUAACCAUACUAAUGGCUAACUUUACAUUCAUUUCACGUUAACAUUUACUUUGUUAGCUUAUACAUGCCAUUGAUUUCCACAAUAAAGUUUCUUUAUAUACCGAAAUCCUGAGGUUGACAGUGUGAUGUGUCUCCGACCAAAUCCGACCUCCGAGCUCUUAACACUACAAAACAGGGAAAAAGGAAACGGGGUAAGCACUUCGUGCUUAGUAAGCUCAUGUAACAAGAAUUAUACUUACCUAAUAUUUUCAAUACAAUACAAUAAACAUUCAUAUAUCCAUUCAAUGCAUUAUUACCCUAAUAUGCACAAACUCAACAUUCAAGUUAGUACAAUAAUUUCCAUGUACCAAUAAUAUAUGCUAUGAUUGAUGAGCUCAUCAAUAUCAUAAUUUUCAUUUCCUUGCUAUUUUUUUAUACUUAUCCCGUUGAAUUUAUCGGAAUUUCGAUGGAUUUUCAGAGGUACACUUUUAGUGUACAAUUCCGGGUCCGUCAAUUCAUAUUCAUGUGCGCACAUAUCCAUUUCAGAGAGCACACUCCCGCGAACCUCAACCUUGCAGCGGGAUUACCAGUCCAGGCUAAAUCCCUGCAAUAUAAACUCAUAGAGUAUUGUCGGGAUUGCCAGUCCAGGCUAAAUCCCUUGCAACGACAAUUACUCUAAUGAGCUUGGAUCUGAAUUACCAGUCCAGGCUAAAUUCAGACCCUAAUUCGGAUUACCCGUCUGGGCUAAAUCCAUUUUACACAUAUUCUUCGGGAGAGCUAUAUCAGUAUAGGAUCACCCGUCCGGGCUAGAUCCUUUUUACCGUCAAUUCCUUUUCAGAGAUCCAUCGAAUUUUCCUUUUAUUCAACUGGGAUUUCUUCCCAUUUUAUCAAAUAUAUCAAUGUUUCAUUAAUUUUCAUACAAUGAACAUUCAAAUCAUAUUCACAUCAAUAACAUACAAUCUCAAGCAAUUUAAGAAUAUAAUUCAAGUUACACGAACUUACCUUGAUACUUGUUUGUAAACAAUAAAAAUCUACUAAUCCCGAACUUUUUCCUUUCCUCGAUCUAGCUUCGUAUUUGAAUCUUCCAGAUCUAAAUAAAUAAAUUUAAUUAUCAAUUUAAUACAUUUCAUGUUCAUAUGCAACAUUCUCUAUAAUUCAACUAUUAUUUAUAGUUCAUUCAAAGUUGUCUACUUGAGUCAUAGUCACUAAAUUAUUUAUAACUUGAGCUACGAAACUCAAAAUUAAGAUCCGUUAAUUUUACCUGAAACUAGACUCAUAUAUAUUUUUACUAUAAAAUUUUCAGAAUUUUUGGUUUAUCCAAUAAGUACAGUUUAUUCUUUAAAGUCACCCCUGUUCUGCUGUCGACAGUUCUGACCCUUCUUCACUAAAAAUUAAUUAUCUCUUCAUACAGAAUUCAAAUAAUGUUCUCGUUUAUUUUUCUUAAAAAUAGACUCAUUAAGGAUUCUAGACAUAUAAAUUUAAGCCCAUAAUUGUUUUUAUUAAAUUUUUUAUGAUUUUUCAAAGUCAGAACAGGGGAACCCGAAUUCAUUCUGACCUUGUCUCACAAAAUUCAUUAUAUCUCAAAAUUUACAAAUUCGUUGCUUACACUAUUUCUUCUAUGAGAAACUAGACUCAAUAAGCUUUAAUGCCAUAUUUUUUUCAUCUUCUAAUUCGAUUUCUAAAAUUUAUGGUGAUUUUUCAAAGUUAGUCUACUGCUGCUGUCCAAACUGUUUUUGUGCAAGCUGUUUAUUACCAUUUUUCCCCUAAGCUUUUAAUAAAUGAUUAUUUCGUCCCUACUCAAUUAGCCUCUCAAUUGAGCUGAUUUUUCUCAAUUAACAUUUUAUUAUAUCACCUUAAACUAGUUUACAACCUUUAGGAAUCAGAAUUUCAGCAAUAGACUUUAAUUCCAAGCAUUUUCACAAUUAGGUCCUAAAAAUCAAUUUCUAUUGAAAUUACCUAAUAAAAUCAUCUCAUAAACAAAUUAAAGCUUUAAUUUCAUUAUAUUUCAUCAUAAACUUACAGCACUAAACCAUGGUGAUUUUAAAUUUCAUCCAUGAAAUCAAAAACUAAUGAAUUUAAUAGCAGGACCUAGUUGUAAAAGUCUUAGAAACACAAAAAUUACAAGAAAAAGGCAAGGAUUAACUCAAUUGGUGCAAAAAUUAUGAAAUACCAGCUUAGAGAACCCUCCUAUGGCGUUUUUAGCUGCUGAAAUUGAAGAGAAAUCUAGAUAUUUCCUAUUUAGUCCUAGUUUUAUUUAGUUAAUUUUGCAAUAUUCUAAUUUUACCUUUAAUUUAUCAAUUUUUCUGCUGAUUUCAUACUCUUGCCGUCCAGCCCAAAUAACUUUUGGGUCUAAUUGCCUUUUAAAUCCUUUCUCAUUAGACUUUUAAGCUAUUUAAUCAUUCUAGAAACUUUUACACCUAUUACAAUUUAGUCCUUUUCAUUUAAUUGACUACCCAAACAUUAAAAUUUCCUAACGAAAUUUUAAUACCACAUUAAUAACAUUUCAUAAAUAUUUAUAAAAUUAUUUUUGACUCGGUUUUAUGAGAUAGAGGUCUCGAUACCUUGUUUUUACCCAAUUUCUUCAAUAAUUUCUUUUUCUAUCUAAUCAAUAAAUCGAUAAAAUUUUUCUAUUAAAAUUUUCAUAUUUUCCUAUCAUAUCAAUUUGCAUGCAAAAAUAUUGAAAUAAAUUUCUCUUUAAAUCAAAUCUGUGGUUACGAAACUACUGUUCCGAUUAUUUUGAAUUUAGGCCAUUACAUAGGGUUUCUGAAAGCUUAGGCGCCGCUCCUCCUACCCUCCCAUGUGCAUUGUCAGCGCCUCCAACGCCCGAGACAGACGCCCCGUCCCAUCGCCUUCACUGUCACCUGCAAACAAGCAAAGAAGAGGACAAAAAAGGGAGCAAAUAACAAUAACAAAAGGAAAAAGAGAACAUAAGCAGGAACAAAGCAGUAAAAGCAGUAAUAAGAAAUAGAAUAUUGUAUAUGUUAGGCUCCAAAGCCACAGGAAGAAAACGAUGGAAAAGGGGGGGAACCGAUUGUAUUUUAGGGGGAAACCGAAUGUAAAUAAAGGGGUUUUUUUUUGAAAAAAAGAGAUUGUAUUAGAGGUUUUUUUUUUCCAGAAAUCAAUGAAAACAAAAGGUUGAUUUUGUUUUUUUCUUCUCUUUUUUAUUUUCAAUCUCUUUUUGUUUUCAUUUCAAAUCUAUUUUAAAUAAAAGGAAUAAAGAAGAAAAGGGAGGAGGGCUUACCCUUUUUUGAGACCACCGAGGAAAAAGGAAGAGAAAAGCGACUUUUGAGCUCUCCGCCACCGCGUACGGCGGCGCCGUCGCCAGUGGUCGACGGUCGGCACGACGGCCAUUGACCGAAGCUAGGUCGGAUCCUAAAGGGGCUGAGAGGGAAAGAGUUUUUUUUGAGAGAAUUUUUGGCAAAUUCUGUUUUGUGAAGAAGAAAAAUGAAAUUUUUAACAAAAAAAUUUGGUUUAUAUAGUGCCCUAAUACAACGUCGUUUUGGGGGAAGCCUCAAACGCCCAAAACGGCGCUGUUUCAGUCUAUUGCCUGUCCGACCUGACCUUUAACCCUGGGAUCCGCGUGUUUCUGCAAAAGGGGAUAUUUGCCCUUUUGGUCCUUCCAUCUCUUAAUUAUUCCACAAUUCAAUUUUCUUUAUUUUUUAAUUUGGCCCGAUGAUUUCAUUUCUAUUUCAUUUUAAUCCUGCAUGUUUUAUUAUAAUCUAGCCUCUAAAUUUCAUUUCAAAUUUCAAUUUAACCCUUUAUUCAUUCAAUUUCAACCUUUAUAGAUUGUUAUGUUUUGUUUUAUUUGUUUAUUUAUAUAUCCAUGCAUUUAUUUAUUUCUUUAUAUGUUUAUACUGUAUUUUAAAUUUGUAUUAUUAUUUAUUCUGUCAUUGGCAUGUUUCACUAUUGUAAUUAUUAUUAUUAUUAUUUAUUUAUUUAUCUAUUUAUCUAGUUGUUAUUAGAGGUGAUCAUGGGCCAGGCCGAGCUCAAAUAAAAUUUUAGGCCCGUAUACUAGGCCUGGGCCCGGCCCGGCCCGAAAUAUGGGCUUAAAAAUUUGUCCAAGCUAGGCUCGAAAUAAAAUUGCUAAGCCCGAGCCCGGCCCGGCCCGGCCUAUAUUAAUUUUUUUGCUUAUUUUAUUAAAUAAAAAAAUUUAAAAAUAUAAUAAAUCAAAUAUAUUUAAAAACAUAAAAAUAAAUAUUAAAACAAAUAAAAAUGAUACUAAAAUAAUUCUUAAAAUAAUACACAAAUUGACAAUAUAACAAAAAUGGUUAUAUUAAAAAUUUAAAAUGAUUAAAAAUAAAAUAAAAAUAUAUAUUAAUAUAUAAUUCGGGCCGGGCGGGGCCGGGCCGGGCCCGGGCCAAAAAACUCUUACCCGAGGCCCGACCCAUUUUCUAAACGAGCCUCUUUUUUUGCCCAAGCCCAUUUUUCGGGCUUAUAUUUUUACCCAAACCCUCUCAUUUUUCGGGCGGGCCUUCGGGCCGGGCCGGGCCGUCCAGCCCAUGAUCAACUCUAGUUAUUAUCAUUUCUUUAUUUUUAUACACAUUUAAAAUUAAAUUGCUUACAUUUUAUUUUUACAUUCUUUACAUAUUUGUUAUCUUCAUUAUUAUUGAUAUUAUUAUUAUUAUUAUUGUUUUUUUAUUACUAUUAUCAUUAUUAUAUUAUUACUAUUAGUAUUAUAUUUAUAUUCAUGUUUAUUUUAUUUUCCUAACAUUAUUACCGUUUCUCUAAUUUUAUCUAUCUAUUUAUACUUCUAUUAUUUUUAUAUUUCUACGUAUUGUAUUUCUAUUUAUGUUUAUUAUUAUUAUUAUUAUUAUUAUUACUUUUUUUGAACAUAUCAUGUAUUUUAAAUUAUUAUCAAUUUUAAAUAUUUUACAUAUAUAAUUUCUUUUAAACUAUUAUACGUAUUAUUUAUUUUGAAAUUUUAUAUGUAUCUUUGUAUUUUAAAUUAUUAUAUAUAUACAUAUUUAUUUUUUUAAAAUAUUAUUAUAUAUUAUUUAGUUGUAUCGUUUUAUACGAUAAUUGUGUUAAAUUCUCUUUAUUAUUUAUUAUAAACCUUUCUACUAUUAUUAAUUUUAAAAUUUCAUAUGUUAUUUAUAUUAAACUUUUGUAUAUAUCUUUUAUAUGUUAAUGAUUCUAAAUUCUUUUAUUGAUAUUUGUUUUGAACUUCCUAUAUAUUACUUAUUUUAAUUUUUUUUUAUCUUAAAAUUUUACUUUGGGUUACAUUUAUAUAUAAAUUUUCAUUUAAACUAUUUUUGUACAUUGUUUAUUUUAAAAUUUUCAUUUAUACAUUAUUUAUUUUAAGCUCUUUUAUAUGUAUUUGAAAGGAUCUUUUUAUUAUUAUUUUACUUUGUGAAUUAUUUAUCUUAAUUUAUUUAACAUAUUAUUUAUUUGAAAUUUACUUUAUAUAUUAUGUUAUUUCAAAUUGUUUUAUAUUUUAUUUAUGUUAAAUCUUUUUCAUACGUCAUUUAUCUUGAACUAUUCUUUGGUAUUAUGAGUUUUAAAUCUCAAUUAUUUCAUUUGUUAUCAAUUUUAAAAUUUUAUCCUAUUUACUUUGAAUCAUUUUUCGCAUGUUAUUUUACUUCAUUUGUCUUUGAUUAUUGAUGGGUAUUAAAAAGUAAUAUACAUUGAGAAUAUUGCCAUUACAUGUACUAAAAAUUAUUUAUCUUCAUAUUGUGACAUUCAUUAAUAUUGUAUCUAAUUCGUGUUUCAUUAUUCCAUGCUCUAUUUUACACUUUUGUUUUACUUAGCUCAAAUCAUGUUGUGUAGUAAACCCCAACAUAUUUAUCCAAUUUAGAUCGCUUUAUUGUAUUUCAAACAAAAUAAGUGCAUGCCUUCAAAUGUUGUAUUCGCUAUUAAUAAUAUAUUUCAAAUAAGGCAAUAUUUCGCGUUUUAGGAAAUUUGAGGAAUCGUGCCCUAACUUAUUGGGUUUCGAUUUUCUUGUUAAACCUAGAAAGUCAAAUAUCCUUUUAGAUUUCAAAAUACACAAGCUUUCGAUAAAGAUUAAAGGCAAACUUGCUCUCGACGAUUUAAACGUCGCGUCCUAACUUACUGGAUGCGACACCUUAUAAUCUCGGGACGAGUAAGCCUUUGAUGCUCAUUUCAACGUAGUUAGGCAUUUUGAAACGAACAUUCAUAAAAAGGGAUCAUAUUCGAAAUUCUUUUCGAGUUUUUAAAUUUCGACAUUAAGACAUUAAUUAAUCAGUUAAGUACCAAUUUUGGGCGUUACGAGGGUGCUAAUCCUUCCUCGUACGUAACCGACUCCCGAACCCAUUUUCUCAAAAUUCGUAGACCAAAAUCGUUGUUUUAAGUAAAUCAAAAUGUUUUAUUAAAAUGACCAAAUUUCUAGGUAAUCCGAUCACACCUAAACAAAAAAGGAUUGGUGGCGACUCCUAAUUUUUGUUUUCAUUUUCAAACCAAAGUCGAUCCCCAUUUUUUCAAAAAAUAGUUUUGACACAUAAAACAGUGAAUGAAGAUGAAGGGAACUUAGUACACCAACAUUGGACCAUAAUAAUUCGUGGGUUUCUUCAAUUAAUGUGGGCACAUAUUCCUUGAGCCAAUGAGACCAAUGUGGUUGUGAAAAAAAUUUUGGAGAAUAAAAAAUAGAUACAAUAGCUCUGGAAUUAAUGAAACAAACAGUGAUGGUUAAACUCAAAAAAGAAUUGAAGGUCAUAAUGGUCUCUAAUUAAAAAUGAAGAAAAGUGAAAACUCUUGAAAAGAUUGAAGAUGCACUUUGGGAUUUGGAUAUUAUUAAGCAUGAUUGUCCAUUACUAAAAGAAUGUAGGUGUAUAAAAUUUCUAAAAUGUUGUUGGGUUAUAUUUUAUGCAUGGAAAGUAAAAAACUAUGAAUGAGAUAUUAGAAUUUAAAAGUUCUAAUUAAGAAUAAUGGUGAUGAUCAAUGUGUAUACAUUCGAGAUUGAUGAAUAAAAAAAUUACAUAAUGAGAUAUUAGAUAUUCUAAUUAUUGCAUAAUCAAAAAUGGAAAGAAAAAAAAAAGAUGAUGUGGAUGUUUAACAAUUGACCAUAACUUCAAUGAAUUUAUUUGUGCAGAGAAGUUCAUGAUUUUAUUAAUAAAGGAGAUACCGUUGUUUCUUUAUAUAUUAAACGUUACAUCUGAUUAUGAAGUUGUGGGCUUUGUUUAACAAAAUGGAAUUAUUGUAUUUCAUGAGAUGAAAAUUGCAAUAUCCUUGACAUUUUUGAGAAGUGAACUGUGUCAAUUCGGUAUGACACGUGUCUGAAAUUUUAGGGAAGAUAGAAAUAGAAAUAUUGGUAUUAGUGGAGCGGAUAAUUAGAUAUUAUAGGAAAUCAAAAACACUUUUGAAUUUAGGAAAUUUAAAUUUAGGAGUGGACUAAAUUGUAAUAGUGUAAGAAGUAUUGGACUAAAGUGAAAAUUUUAAAAGUAAAAAAUGAUGAAAUUAGAUGAAUGAGAAAAAAGAUAAGAACUUGGAGUGUAAAUUGAUCAUGAAGUACAUAGUGAUGUGACCGUAAUAAUGAUGAUUAGAUUUAAUUUAAUUAAAAUAUAGAAAUUAAUAGAUGAAAAAAUUAGUAGUGUAAACUGAGUUCACUGUGGUAACAUAAUUUAUUACAUUAGCCGCUGCAUCUAAAGAAGUAUAAUGAUUAAUAAACUUGCUUUAUUAUGUAUCUUUAUAGCUUAAGUCAAUUUCACCUAUUUUUAUCUAUUGCGAUAACGAGGUUACUCUAGCAAAAUCAUAUAGUUAAUUAUAUAAUGAAAAGUCUAUACACAUUAGAUUAAGACAUAGUUAUGUCUAAAAAUUAAUUUCUGAUGGAGUGAUUACUAUUAAGUAUGUGACGUCAAGUGAAAAUUUGGUAGAUCCUUUGACAAAAAAUCUUGCUAGAGAUAUAGUCAACAAGAGCUCAAAAGGGAUGAGACUCAAGCCCAUUAAUUAGAGUCACCCAUGACGGAAACUCGAUUCAACGCUUGAUAUAACGUCAAGUCUUGAGUUCAAUGAGAUAAAGUAUAUCAUUAGUAUGUGACUGUUAGUACUAUAAAUAAAUCCAUGCUAAGAUUAAAGUACUAGGUACCCAUAAUGAUAAGGGAAUGAUCAAUACUGUAUUCUUAAUGGACCUAUAACAUAAAUAUGGUAGAGUGUUAUAAUUAUGAGAACACUCUUAAUGGGAUUUACCUAUGUAAAUGGAAGUGUGGCGGCUUCUAGAAGCUCAAAGGCUUGGUUCUGACAGCACGUAUUAAAAAAAGAACACAGACACAUGACCAUAAUAGUGUCCUUGAAUACUAUGUAUUGAUUGAUGUUGAAAUCAUUGUGUAAAAUGUGUUCGGUUAAUCAAAUGAAAUAGUUGGUUCAAAGUUUAGUCUACCAUGUAAUUUCGAUUAACUUUAACAUAUUUUCACUAAGUGAAUGUUCAAUCAUAAGACACUUUUAUUUAUACAAAUUGAUUUCCAAUAAUAUCAAAAUCUAAAAUAUUUUGAAAAUGAGGGGAGAUUGUUGGAAUAUUUUCAAAUAUUUAUAGUGUUCCAAUAACUAUAAAUGAAUUGAUGAAAUUAAUCAAAAGAUAAAUCUUUUGGUCAUUGGUCAAAAGUUAUAUCAUUUGAUUUUUGAAAAAAAUUAUUCAAACAAUAUUGUUUGAAUAGUUAUAAUAUUAAAUGAAUAAUUAUAUAUUUUUUAGAGACAUUAUUAUUUAGAAAAGAUGCUUAUUGAAAGACAUCUCUAUAAAGAUAAAUGAAAAUUCCUAUAAAUAGGAAUGAGUUUUCAUUGUAUCCUCGAGGAAUUUUUUUGCACACCAAAAAUAAGUGGGGGCGAAUAUAAAUAGUGGUUUGAUACACGUUUUGGAGCCUUGUCCUAUUUUUUCUUUUUUUGUUCGAGUUCCAUUCAUGUGUUUUGGGUGUUUUCUCACCGAAAUUUUUGUACUAACACUUGUUUUGUCCAAAAGAAAUUGUUUGAUUUGGUCAACAUCUAAUCACUCAAUGAGUCUAUCGAAUGUGAAGGAUUAGUUACUAGACUCACUUCUUACAUUAAAAAAUAAAAAAAAAUCUAAAUUUAUAAAUGAUUUAUGUUUCUCGUUCGCGAAUGCAAGUAAUUUAGGAUGAGCUAGAGAAAAUAUUGUCAUUUUCCAUUAUUAUUAUACAAUUUUGUCAACAUUUAAUAAGUUGCUUUCUAAUCAAUUCCAAUGAUACCUUCUCGGCAUAUAUGCAUAUCAGUUUCAGAAAUUAGAAAAAUGUUUGUAGCAAAUUGUCUCCACAUGCAGUCUUUGUCCAAUCUCUAAUAAACAAACAUUUCGGUUUUGGAUGCUUUAACUAUAUAAUAUAUGUAAACUUGAAAAUGACAAAUUCAACAACAACGAAAAAUCAUUCACACAUAAAAAAACUGAUUGUUCCUUCUUUGGAAUUACAGAGGCAAUGAAACCUUCAAUGUGUCUAUGGCUAUGUACACUCAAAAUUUCCUUUCUUUGCUUUAAUUUCUCAGUGAAGCCUGUCUCAUCUGUUCUACACUCUUACUCUGAUCAUUGUUUUUCAAUUGUCCCCGAGCCAGUCCCCAACUCCGAACCUCCCGGUUACGAGUUCGCUUCAUUUGGUCCAUCCCAAUCUGGUUUUUACUACUCUGAUGGAGAUUUCAGAGUUGUUAGUUCAAACAUAACCAGGCAUACAAAUUCAUUCUCGUUUUACACCACUGCGGUGAGCCAAACAGAUAAAGAUGGUGUGUUUAUGAUCGAAGGAAGCUUCGAGCUCCAAAGUCCAUUUGUUUUACAAAGCCUCUUAUACGGAAGUGGAUCAUCAAAAGGUUCAGUUUCCACACCUCACGUACCGCCUACGGUUGCUGAUUAUAAGAAUCCGUUUAUUUUGAAGCUGCACGGCUUCUGGUACGAAUCUUUGGGGGAACUUUGUAUGGUUGGAACAGGUUCUUCAUACUUGAAAGAAGGUACUCUGCUUACACCUGCAGCUGUUCUUAAGCUUCAUAAUAUCAAGACUUCAAGUAGCAUUACUAGUUUGAUUACUGGCACUUUGGAGAGUUUGAGUCCUAGCAAUGAUAGUAAUUAUUUUGAACCAAUCUCCAUAUUGUUGUUCCCACAAUUGAACUACAAGUUUACCUUUGUGUCUGGAGAUUCCACUGACGAGCUUUCCGAUGGAAGUGAUCCCGAAAAGAAUUUACCGGUAUAUGAUGUGUUGCGAGGAAGAACCUUUUGUUCAAAGUUCACAAGCCUUGUAUUUAGAAAUGUAUAUAAUUUGCAGUAUACAGGGUGCAGAUCCAACAAGAAGUGUCUCCCUCGUGAUGGGGUGAUUGCAAAUUUGCCCGGUUCUAUGUCUUUAAGUGCUGUUGAUUGUUCGGAUGUUCUAAAGAGAGUUCAGAUUUUGCUAACGUUUGAUGAUAAUACCAAGCCUUCAAGGCAUGAAAAGCGUUUUGAUCCCAACACAACAUUGAUCGGAGAAGGAAUAUGGGAUGAUAAGAAGAAUCAGUUGCAUGUUUUGCUUUGUCGGUUUCUCGACAUCACAAACUCUUGGUCUAAUGCACAUGUUGGGGAUUGCACAACAAGGUUGAGCUUGAGGUUCCCUGCAAUCUGGUCAAUCAAAGAGACCAGUACCAUAAUGGGGCAAAUUUGGACCAACAAAACUGUGGAUGAUUCAGGUUACUUUGAAAAAAUUGUGUUUCGAAGUACUGAGAAUCGGAUCUGACACUCUUUAUAGAUCAAAGUACGAAUAUACAGAACUUGACAGAGUAAGUAAUUUAUGCACGGAAAAGAAACUUGCAAGAAACAAGAGACAAAGGUACCCUAGUCCCAAAUUUUCCGGGAUGAGGUUCAGCAUAUCGGUUAAAAGUUCAAAAGGAAGGACUGGAUGGGGUUUUGCAGAUGCUCUGACCGUGAAUAAUCAGUUGUACAUGCACACCCACCUUAUGUUUGCUGCCAUCAAUGAUGACUUCGAGAGGCUUACAAGGUGGGAACCUCAGGGCCGAGCCAACAUUAGCUACAUUAUAGACAUCAAAUGGCACAAUCCUCUGAAGUUAACUAACGAAGGUAGUGCAUCUAUUGCACUUGAUGAGAAAAUGGAGAUCACUGCUGAAGGGAUUUAUGAUGCUGACACAGGAGGCUUGUGUAUGGUUGGCUGCAGAAAGAUUUCAUCGAUUGAUCAGUUUGGAAAUGCUUCUAUGGACUGUGACAUUAUUCUUAACUUUCAAUUUGCUCCAGUAAAGGGGUUCAAGAACGAACGGUAUAUUCGGGGAAGAAUCAGAAGCAUACGAGAGAAAUCUGAUCUUUAUUUUCACCCUCUAGAUGUGUCUUCUGUUGCUUGCAGCAGGGAGCAAGCUAGGCAUACCAUUUGGACCAUGGAUCUUGAGAUUGCCAUGGUUGUAAUAUCUCAAACACUUGCAUGUCUAUUUGUGAGAUCUCAGCUCUAUCAUUCGAAAAGGCAGCCAAAUAGACUCCCCUUUACUUCACUUGUGAUGCUUGUGAUCCUUACCCUGGGCCAACUGAUUCCUCUGGUGCUUAACUAUGAGGCCUUAUUCCAUCAAAAGAAUGAUCAGGGUACCGUGUUGUUUCAAACCGGCGGAUGGCUCGAAGUAAAUGAGGUAAUCGUAAGGAUAACUUCAAUGGUAGCUUUCUUGUUGCAGCUCCGUAUUCUCCAGCAAGCAUUUUUGAGUAGAUCGAACGACAGAAACGGAAAAGGCCUAUGGUUUGCUGAGAAAAUGAGCUUGCUUGUCACACUACCAUUGUAUCUUUAUGGUGCAUUCGUUGUUCUGCUUGCCGAUAGGGCGAACUAUAGAUGCGACACUGUGUUGCUUCCCACUCGUCCAGUUGACUACUGGCAGCGUUCGACUUGGGAUGACCUGAAAUCAUAUGCAGGUUUAAUCUCAGAUGGUUUCCUUUUGCCCCAAAUACUGUUCAAUAUAUUCUGGAGCUCUAGAGAAAAUGUACUUAGCCCCUCGUUUUAUAUCGGUACCAGUUUGGUUCGGUUGCUGCCGCAUGCAUAUGAUCUCUACUGUGACCACAGCUAUGUUGAAUACAAGGGAACAUCAAUUUACGCGAACCCUGCAAAGGAUUUUUUCUCCACUGCAUGGGAUGUCAUUAUCCUUAUUGGUGUUUUGCUGUUAGCUGCAAUCAUUUACUUGCAACAGCAAUUUGGUGGUUGCUGCAUUGUUCCAAAGAGAUUUAGAUGGCGGAAAAGCUAUGAAAAAAUCCCAGCGGUGGGCCAAUCAUAAGUCCCUCACAAGUUUAGUGCUUCAUUUGGUGUGUAUUUCCCAGUCAGUGUCUAUCUACUAUGUAUGUACCCCAAGAAACUUGUGCUUUUGGUUCAAAAAAUGUUACCUAAAAAUGUACUUUGAUUCAAGAGUGUUAAGACAUAUCCAGCUAAAUAUCCCAUCAAAUCCCUUUAGAGAGAUACUCCGCCAAGCACCACGCUCGUCCAUGAUUAAGGUAAUGCCAAGCUCAAUCACUCUAGUGAGACCCCUAUCAUUCAUAAUUAACAUGCUUUGUAAUUCCAUCACAUCAAGUUACAUCAUUGAGUUAACCAGAAAUCUACACUGCAUAUCCUAAGUGAACCUGCCAACCAAGAAAAGACAUGUGGCCUACGCAUAUCUCCCUUGAAUAAAUCUCCAAAACUCGUGAAGAGAGAGAACAACAUUAUCAACUAACUUCUUCCCCUCUCCCCUCUAGCAAUUCCUAAACCUCUCCUCUUCCGUGAACGCCAUUUGCACCUCUCGACCCACUGUAUGAACUGUCACCAAAGACACCCUAUAGUUGCAUCCCUUUAUAUUCCAUCUUCCAUUUAUUAUUAUACAAAUUAUGUCAACAUUUAAUAAGUUUCCAGCAGAAAAGAGACAAUGCAGUCUUUAUCCAUUCUAUGAUAAACAAAUAUUUUGAUUCUGGAAGCUGGAAACUUAUAAAUGACAAAUUCAACAAAACUCAUUUCUGAUAUAUGUACCACAACUUCAUUUACACUUCAAAAAACUGUUUGUUCCUGUUUUGAAAUUACAUAGGCGAUGAGACCUUCAAUACUUCAAUGGCUAUGUACGAUCAUUGUUCUCCGAUUGUUCCUGAGUGAGGCCCCAAUUCCAAACCUCCCAUUUACGAGUUCGGUCCAUUUACAUAAUAAAUUAUUAUUAUACAAAUUAUGUCAACAUUUAAUAAGUUUCCAGCAGAAAAGAGACAAUGCAGGCCUGUUAAAGCAAAAUAUCUAAUCGGGGAGAUUCCAAUGACUUUCUGGACUUUUGAUGUAGUCUUUAUCCAUUCUAUAAUAAACAAAUAUUUUGAUUAAGUAUGCUGGAAACUUGACAUUGACAAAUUCAACAAAAUUCAUUUCUGAUAUAUGUACCACAACUUCAUUUACACAUCAAAAACUGAAUAGUUCCUUCUUUCAAAUUACAAAGGCAAUGAAACAUUCAAUAUUUCUAUGGCUAUGUACGUUCCAAAUUUCCCUUCUUUGCAUUAGUUUCUCAGUGAAGUCUGUCUCAUCUGUUGCACACUCUUACUCCGAUCAUUGUUAUUCAAUUGUUCCGGAGCCAGUCCCCAAAUCGGAACCUCCCGUUUACGAGUUUGGUCCAUUUGGUCCAUCCCAGUCUGGUUUCUACUACUCUGAUGGAGAUUUCAGAGUUGUUACUGCAAACAUAACCAGGCAUACAAAUUUAUUCUCUUUUUACACCACUGCAGUGAGGCAAACCGAUAAAGAUGGCGUGUUUAUGAUCGAAGGAAGCUUUGAGCUCCAAGGUCUUCUUGAAAGCGUCUUAUACGGAAGUGGGUCAUCACAAAUUUCAGUUCCACCUCGCGUGCCACCUGUGGUCGCUGAUUAUUCAAACCCGUUCAUUUUAAAGCUCCACGGCUUCUGGUCCGAAUCUUCAGGGGAACUUUGUAUGGUUGGAACAGGUUCUGCAUUGUUAAAAGAAGGUACUCUGCUUACACCUGUAGCUGUUCUUAAGCUUUAUAAUAUCAAGACUUCUAGUAGCAUUACUACUUUGAUUACUGGCACUUUGGAGAGUUUGAGUCCUAGCAAUGAUAACAAUUAUUUUGAAACAAUCUCCAUAUUGAUGCCUCCACAAUUGAAUUACAAGUUCACUAUUGUGUCCGGAGAUUCCGAUGACGAAAUUUUGUUGAAAGCUGGACUGCAAUGCAACAUGGAGCCAAAAGCUUGCUACUGUCGAGACCAACAGCUAUCGAGCUCAGCUCAUUUUGCUUGGUGCGCACGAAUGGUUUUUGAACUGAAUGAAGCAACCAACUUUGCUGUUUUGUUUUGAUGUAAUUUGAUUCAGUUCAACUUUAGUUUGUUUGUAAUGCUAGUUAAACUUAAGUUAGUGACAAGAUCUUUUGAUGUAAUGGCUGAUUGGUCAGCUAUGUUUGAUUAUUUUUUGGCUAGUGAUUAGGUUUGUAUUAGUUGGGGCAGUUAAAUACAUUAGGUAAAUGUCAAUGUACAAUUGUAACUCUUUUAUAUAUUUCAAGUUGAAUGAAAAAUGAUGUAUGUUCAGUCACAAACAUUGCUGAGUAUUUUGAUUUUUGAUGCUUUGUUUGCCUUGAUUCUUCUUGCUUCAGUCUUGCAAACACUGAGUUGCAAAUUUGCUUUGAUGUUUGCUGCUGUCAUUGUUCCAACAAAUGGUAUCAUGAGCCCGAGUCUUUGAGGGGCCUUUGUAUGCAAUCUGUUGUGUUCGAAACAAAACCAACAGCAAGUUCAAAAUUUGGAAAGAUUGAAGCAUUUAAAAUCAGUUUAGCAGAAUGAGUUUCACUCCACCACCUCCACCAGUGUUCACUGGAGAAAACUAUCACAUUUGGAUAGUUAAAAUGAAGACUUAUCUCCAGGCACAUGAUCUUUGGAGUGUGAUCGAGAAUGAUGCUGAACCACCUCCAUUGAGAGCCAAUCCCACCAUUGCACAGAUGAGGCAACAUACUGAGGAGCGAGCCAAGAAGCAUAAGGCUAUGGCCUGCUUGCAAAAUGGAGUCUCUGAUGUGAUAUUUACUCGCAUCAUGGCCUGUGACUCACCUAAGCAGGCUUGGGAGAAGCUGAAGGAGGAGUUCAUGGGGACUGAUAAGACAAGGCAACAGCAAGUAAUCAAUCUCAGGAGAGACUUUGAAAACUUGAGGAUGAAGGAGUCUGAGACCAUCAAGCAGUACUCAGACAGGAUAAUGGCCAUUGUCAACAGCAUUAGGCUCCUGGGAGUGGACUUCACAGAGAGCAGAGUUGUUGAAAAGGUUAUUACAACUCUUCCUGAGAAAUUUGAGUCUAAAAUCUCUUCACUUGAGGACUCGAGGGACUUAUCAGCCAUUUCAUUGUCUGAGCUGAUAAAUUCCCUAUAUGCACUUGAGCAAAGGAGGGCAAAUAGGCAGGAGGAGAAUCCUGAAGCUGCUUUCCAGGCUAAAGCCAGUGAAGGCUCGAGUGUGAGUGCAAAAGGCAAGAAGCCUUGGCACAAUAGAAGGGUCAAGUCAGGAAGAGAUGAAGCAAAAAGGGUGUUCCCACCAUGUGUUCAUUGCAAGAAGACAACACAUUCAGAAAAGUAUUGCUGGUUUAGGCCAGAUAUUCAGUGUAGAAAAUGCAAACAGUUUGGCCAUGUGGAGAAGGUGUGCAAGGGCAAACCAAGGGAGGCUACUCUGCAACAAGCUAGACCUGCUGAGGACAUUCAAGCUCAGGAGGAGCAAGUGUUCACAGCAACUUGUUUUGUUGGCACAACCAAGGCCAGCAAUGAUUGGCUACUAGACAGUGGCUGCUCACACCAUAUGGCAGCAGAUGAGAAGCUGUUCAAAAGCCUAGACAGAAGCUUCCACUCGAGGAUUAGAAUUGGAGAUGGUAGGCUGAUUGAGGCUAAAGGCAAGGGCAGUGUGUUGAUUAGCACUGGUUCAGGUAACAAGCUGAUCUCAGAUGUGUUUUUUGUACCUGACUUAGACCAGAAUUUGCUUAGUGUGGGCCAAUUAGUUGAAAAGGGCUAUACAUUGGUUUUUAAGGAUGGUUGCUGUAUUGUUCAAGACAUGAAUGGUCUGGAGUUAGUCACAGUCUCUAUGACUGAUAGGUGCUUCAUGCUGGAUGUUAGCCAAAUAGAAAGAAAGGCAUACACCAGCCUUGUUGAAAGCACUGACUUGUGGCAUAGGAGACUAGGCCAUGCAAAUUUUAGAUCUAUUGAUCUAUUACAUAGGCUGAAUCUGGUUGAUGACAUUUCAAAAAUUGAAGCUAGUGGGAAUGUUUGUGAGGUUUGUCAGCUUGGUAAGCAGGCUAGACUGCCUUUUCCUGCUGACAGUGCUUGGAGAGCUCAAGACAAGCUCGAAUUGGUGCACUCUGAUGUUUGUGGCCCUAUGAGAACACCUUCAAUCAGUGAGAACAGGUACUUUGCCUUGUUUAUAGAUGAUUUAACAAGGUUAUGCUGGGUCUACUUCUUGAAGCAAAAGUCAGAAGUGUUUGAAGCCUUUUGUAAAUUCAAGGCUUAUGCUGAAAAUCAGUCAGGCUGCAAAAUUAGAGCCUUGAGGACUGAUAAUGGAUCUGAAUAUGUGUCUGAGAGAUUUCAGAAGCUUUGUGACAGUGCUGGGAUUCACCAUCAGCUCACAACAGUCUAUUCUCCUCAACAGAAUGGAGUCUGUGAGAGAAAGAAUAGGACUGUACUGAACAUGGCCAGGUGCCUCUUGUUUCAAGGCAAGCUUCCAAGUCAGUUUUGGGCUGAGGCAGUCAACACCUCAGUGUAUCUGCUCAACAGACUGCCAACUAGAGCAGUCAAGGAUAAGACUCCUUUUGAGGCUUGGCACGGAGUCAAACCUGUGGUAACACACUUAAAAGUGUUUGGCUGUGUAUGUUAUGCACUUAUUCCAGUGGAGAAAAGGACCAAGCUUGAGAGCAGAGCAACUCCAGGAAUCUUUGUUGGCUACAGCAGCAACAAGAAGGGCUAUAGAGUGUAUGAUCCUACAGCAAAGAAAGUUUUAGUCAGCAGGGAUGUUAAGUUUGAUGAGGAAAAGGUGUGGAAUUGGAAUGGUGUUGUGGCUAACUUGUCUGAAUUGGACCAGUUAGACUUGGUUGCUGAACCUGCAGAAGAAGGACCAAGUAAUGAUGCUGUCGAUGAUAUACCAGUGAGGGGCACCAGAACUUUGGUUGAUGUUUAUCAGAGGUGCAAUGUUGCUGUGAUUGAGCCCUCAGACUUUGAAGAGGCUGCUAAAAACAGAAGCUGGAUGAAAGCUAUGGAAGCUGAGUUGGAAAUGAUCAACAAAAAUCAGACUUGGGAAUUGGUGAGCAGACCAGAACACAAGAGGGUCAUAGGAGUUAAAUGGGUGUAUCGGGCCAAGUACAAUGCUGAUGGCUCACUGAACAAGCACAAGGCCAGGCUUGUGGUGAAGGGCUACAGUCAGCAGUAUGGUGUUGACUACCUAGAAACUUUUGCUCCAGUGGCAAGACUGGAUACAAUUAAGCUGCUGUUUGCUUUAGCAGCUCAGAAGCAGUGGAGAGUUCACCAAUUGGAUGUCAAAUCAGCAUUCCUGAAUGGUUUUCUCAAGGAGGAGAUCUUUAUCGAGCAACCUGAAGGUUUUGAAGUUGUUGGACAUGAAGACAAAGUGUAUAAGUUGAGAAAGGCCCUCUAUGGCCUGAAACAGGCACCAAGGGCCUGGUAUGACAGAGUUGAUGCCUACCUGACCAAACUUGGAUUUGUAAAGAGCCUUAGUGAGCCUACUCUAUAUGUUAAAAAGUCAGAACAUGAAACCUUGCUGAUAGUCUCCUUGUAUGUGGAUGAUUUGCUUGUAACAGGGAGCAAAAUCGAGCUCAUUGAUCAGUUCAAGGUCCAAAUGCAGCAAGUGUUUGAGAUGACAGAUUUGGGGAUCAUGACUUACUUCCUUGGCAUGGAAGUGCACCAAUCUGAUCGAGGUAUCUUCAUCAGCCAACACUCAUUUGCUUUGAAGAUUCUAGACAAAUUUUGCAUGCAUAACUGUAAAGCAGUCAGCACACCUGUGGCUCAAGGAGAAAAGCUGACUAGCAGUGGUGAUCAGCAGAGGGUUGAUGAGAGGCACUAUCGAAGCCUGGUUGGUUGUCUGUUGUAUCUAACAGCAACCAGGCCAGAUAUCAUGUUUGGUGUCAGCCUGUUAUCAAGAUUUAUGCAUUGUUGCAAUGAGGCACAUUUGAAGGCAGCAAAGAGGAUCCUUAGAUACAUCAAGGGCACUGCUAGUUUUGGUGUAAUGUUUGAAAGUCAGAACCAACUGAAAUUAGAAGGCUACUCUGGCAGCGACUGGGCAGGAUCUCUCGAUGACAUGAAGAGUACCUCUGGAUACUUCUUCACACUUGGAUCGGGCAUGUUUUGCUGGAGUUCUAAGAAGCAACAAACUGUUGCUCAGUCCACAGCUGAAGCAGAGUACAUUGCUGCAGCAGGAGCAGUUAAUCAGGCCAUUUGGCUAAGAAAGCUGCUUUAUGACCUUAAUGAAACUCAAGAUGAAGCAACUGAAAUCUGGGUGGACAAUCAGUCUGCAGUUGCAAUAGCCAAGAACCCUGUGUUCCAUGGCAAGACUAAGCAUUUUAAGAUCAAAUUGCAUUUUGUUAGAGAGGCUGAACAAACAAAGGAAGUCAGCCUUGUGCAUUGCAGCUCAGGAGCACAAUUGGCUGACAUAAUGACCAAGCCCUUAGGGGCUGCUCGAUUUGAAUCUUUGAGAAGUGCAAUUGGAAUGUGUUGCAUACAGUCCAAGGAGGAGUGUUGAAAGCUGGACUGCAAUGCAACAUGGAGCCAAAAGCUUGCUACUGUCGAGACCAGCAGCUAUCGAGCUCAGCUCGUUUUGCUUGGUGCGCACGAAUGGUUUUUGAACUGAAUGAAGCAACCAACUUUGCUGUUUUGUUUUGAUGUAAUUUGAUUCAGUUCAACUUUAGUUUGUUUGUAAUGCUAGUUAAACUUAAGUUAGUGACAAGAUCUUUUGAUGUAAUGGCUGAUUGGUCAGCUAUGUUUGAUUAUUUUUUGGCUAGUGAUUAGGUUUGUAUUAGUUGGGGCAGUUAAAUACAUUAGGUAACUGUCAAUGUACAAUUGUAACUCUUUUAUAUAUUUCAAGUUGAAUGAAAAAUGAUGUAUGUUCAGUCACAAACAUUGCUGAGUAUUUUGAUUUUUGAUGCUUUGUUUGCCUUGAUUCUUCUUGCUUCAGUCUUGCAAACACUGAGUUGCAAAUUUGCUUUGAUGUUUGCUGCUGUCAUUGUUCCAACAAAUUUCAGGCGAAAGUGAUUUCGAAGAGAAUUUUCCAAUAGACAGUGUACUGCAAGGAAGAUCCUUUUGUUCAAAGUUCACGAGCCUUGUAUUUAGAAAUGUAUUUAAUUUGCAGUAUACAGGAUGCAGAUCCAGCAAGAAGUGCCUCCCUGGUGAUGGGGUGAUUGCGAAUUUGCCUAGUUCUAUCUCUUUAAGUUCCAUUAAUUGUACGGGUGUUCUAAAGAGAGUUCGGAUUUUCUUAAAGUUUGAUGAUAAUAUCAAGCAUUCAAGGCAUGACAAGCGUUUCGAUCCCAGCAAAACAUUGAUUGGAGAAGGAAUAUGGGAUGAUAAGAAGAAUCAGUUGCAUGUUUUGCUUUGUCGGUUUCUUGAUAUAGCAAACUCUUGGUCUAAUGCUCACGUUGGAGAUUGCACAACAAGGCUGAGCUUGAGGUUCCCCACGAUAUGGUCUAUCAAAGAGACCAGUACCAUAAUGGGGCAAAUUUGGACCAACAAAACUGAGGAAGAUUCAGGUUACUUUGAAAAUAUCCUGUUUCGAAGUACUGAAAAUCACAUGCAUGCUCUUCCUGAUUUAAAGUAUGAAUACACUGAACAUUACAGAGUAAGGAAUUUAUGCCCGGAAAAGAAACUUGGGAGAAACAGGAGACGAAGGUAUCCUAGUCCCAAUUCAAUCGGGAUGAAGUUCAACAUGUUGGUUGAAAGUUCUGAAGGAAGGACUGGAUGGGGUUCUGCUAAUGCUCUGACCGUGAAUAGUCAGUUGUACAUGCAUGCCCGUCUUAGUUUUGCUUCUAUCCGUGAUGACUUCUCGAAGCCUACAAGGUGGGAACCUCAGGGCCGUGCCAAUAUUAGCUACAGGAUAGAUAUCAAAUGGCACACUCCUUCGAAGUUAACUGACGAAGAUAAUGCAUCUAUUGUACCUGAUGAGAAAAUGGAGAUCACUGCUGAAGGGAUUUAUGAUGCUGACACUGGAGGUUUGUGUAUGAUUGGUUGCAGAAAGCUCGACCAACCGCUCGGAAAUGAUUCUAUGGACUGUGGCAUUCUUCUUAACUUUCAAUUUGCUCCAGUAAAAGGGCUGGAGAACGGAGGUUAUAUUCGGGGGGAAAUCAAAAGCAUACGGGAGAAAUCUGAUCUUCUAUACUUUGAUCAUCUAGAUGUGUCUUCAGUUGCUUACAAUAGGGAGCAAGCAAGGCAUACCAUUUGGACCAUGGAUCUUGAGAUUGCCUUGGUUGUAAUAUGUCAAACACUUGUAUGUCUAUCUGUGAGACCUCAACUCUAUCAUUCGAAAAGACAUCCGAAUAGACUCCCCUUUACUUCGCUUGUUAUGCUUGUGAUCCUUGCCUUAGGUCAACUGAUUCCUCUGGUGCUUAACUAUGAAGCUUUAUUCUACCAUAAAAACGAUCAAGGUACCGUGUUGUUUCAAACCGGUGGAUGGCUCGAAGCAAAUGAGGUAAUCAUAAGGAUUACUUCAAUGGUAGCGUUCUUGUUGUAUUUCCGUAUUCUCCAGCAAGCAUUUUCAAGUAGAUCAAAAGAUGGAAACGGAAAAGGCCUAUGGUUUGCUGAGAAAAUGACUUUGCUUGUGACACUACCAUUGUAUGUUUCUGGUGCAAUCAUUGUUCUGCUUGUCGAUAGGGCAAACUAUAAAUGCGACAUCGUGUUGCUUCCCAUUAGUCCCGUUGACUACUGGCAGCGUUCGACUUUGGAGGACCUGAAAUCGUAUGCAGGUUUAAUCUCAGAUGGUUUCCUUUUGCCCCAAAUACUGUUCAAUAUAUUCUCUAACUCUGCAGAAAAUGCACUUAGGCCCUCGUUCUAUAUCGGUACCAGUCUGGUUCGGUUGCUGCCACAUGUAUAUGAUCUUUACUGUGACCACAGCUAUGUUGAAUACAAGGGAACAUUCAUUUAUGCGAACCUAGGUGAGAAUUUUUUCUCCAAUGUUUGGGAUGUGAUUAUCCCUAUUGGUGUUUCGCUGUUUGCUGCAAUCAUUUAUUUGCAGCAGCAAUUUGGUGGUUGCUGCAUUGUUCCUAAGAGAUUUAGAUGGUCAGAAAGCUAUGAGAAUAUCCCAAUGGUCAGUGAAUCAUAAACUUGUCACAAGUUUAGUAAUUCAUUUGUUGUGUAUUUCUCGGUUGGUGUCUGUCUCUUAUGUAUGUAUCUUAGCAUGGGUUUGGAUGGGUUUAGAUAGGCUAUUAGUACCUUUUUAACUCAUUUUUUAUCUCACGCUACAAUAUUACUAUUGUAUCUAAUCUCACCACUUAAUCUCUUAUAAUUAUUCAACUUUGAUGUUUAUUAAAAUAUGUAUUAUUAUUCACUUAUGAUAUAUAAAAUUUAUGUUUAAUAUUUACAAUAUCAAAAUUUGAAUAUUGAAUAAAAUAAAUUUGGAUCAACUGAAUUUAAAACUUCAGGAUUUGCUUUUUGUAAAAUGUCUGAGGGGUGUAAUUUGACAUUUUCUCUUACUUCAUAAGUUCGGGAAUAAGGGACAAAAAUAUGAAUGUCGAUUUUUAUUUAUCAUUUUUAAAGAGUAAAUUAUGGGUUUAUUUUAUAAAUUGAAAGCAUGGUUGAAAGUUUCAGCCAUAUCAAAGUCAACUUCAGGAAAAGCCUUCAAACCCAAGACUGGGCCAAAAUUUAGCUUGGACCCACCCCUUAGCUCCAUUAGCUGUUUUUUCUGAGAGGGCAUUAUUUGUUUUCAUAUCAUAAUCAUAUAUUUUCUUAUUUUUAUAUAAAUUUUGAUUUUUUUUAAUGUUUUUAUUUCGUACUCAAGGAAGACUAAAUUUUUCUUAACGUAUUUAAUAUGGCAGGAUUGGUUUAGAGUUAUCAUAGGUCGGUUCAGUAAAAAAAUAGGUUGGUUUUUUACGACUAGAUUAGGAGCUUAAAUUUUUGUUUAAAUUCAAUUCAGAAAAAAAUAAUUAAUUUGAGCUCGAUUUGGUUUGUUUGUAUUAAUUUUUUAAUUAUUUUUAUAUAAAAAUAAAUUUUAAAAAAUAUAAUAAAUCAAAUAGAUUAAAAACAUUAAAAUAAAUAUCUCGUAACAAGUUUAAAAUAUAUAUAAAAAAUAUUUUUAUAUUUAAAUAACACUAACAUAAUUGUAACUUAACAAAUAAAUACUUUUAAAAUAGUAACAAAAUUAACAAUAAAACAAAAGUUAUCCAAUAUCAAAAAAAUAAUAACAAAAUAGUAGCAAAACAAAAAUAUAACAAUAAAUAACAACAAACAACAGCAGAAUUUAUUAUCAAAUUCGAGUUAGGCCAAACAAAUCUUACUCAAGACCUGACUCAUUUUCUAAAUAGCUAUUUUUUUUCCAAACUCAUUUUUUAGACUUAUAUUUUAAAAAAAAACUCUCUUACUUUUUACCCUGCCCCUUUUUUUGUUCCUUACCUAUUAUCAUCUUUCUAAAUCCCACAAAACCCAUUAAUUUUUAAUGAUGAUUAAUGACAUUAACCGUUUUGCUAUGCUUUCAUUGGUUCCAUCCAAGACUAAGCAGAGUAAACACUAAAUAGAAACGAUUAAUGUAAGGGUCCCAAAAGACUUUUGCUGCUGAAUGAAACAAAGAAACCAGACUCACCUAACCAAAACUUAGUUAAGGGCACUAAUAAUUAACCAGUUGAAUAUAUGAGGGUUUUUGUUUUUCUUUUAUUGCUCCCAUUUUACAUGUAUUGAAUAUAUACAUUUAUUCUUGUAUGAGGAAUCAAACCAAACAUCGAAUUACAUGUUUGGUUUUUAACCUUCAAAAAUGCUAAAAUUUUCAAUUUAAUAUUUCAAAAAUUAUAAAGGAUUGACUCAAAGUCUUAGGAUGCCAUUUUUUUCCAAGAUCUAGAACUUGGAAACUUCCUACGAAAUAGUAAGGACCAUACUAUUGGCACAACAAGUGAGAGCUGUAUGAUUAUUUAUACUUAAAACUCAUUUCCUGGUUUGCACUGAGUUCUUCAUUCCAAUCUUGUUUAAAAGAAAUUCAAGCCUUGUUAUAAUGGAUUGUUCCAUAUUCUCUACUUCAUCUAAGCUUUUGAUUUUUUGUACUUCCUUGCUGUUUAUCAUCUUUUUCAUGUGUCUUAAUGUAGACUCUGUCACUGCAACUGAGUCUGAUUAUGGGCUUCACUGUGAUCCAGUUGUUCAUGAAUCAAAACUAGCUGAUGAGGAGUUCAACAUCUCACCAUUUCCUGGACGUCAAAAUGGUUACUACAGUGGUGGGGAUAAUGUCCUGAACCGUAGCUCCGAUGGGUAUUACUAUGGACCUGCGUCGAAAGUUCUCGUUUUCGAAACACACCACGUUUAUAAAACAAAUGCUGAGGAUGUCUUUAAGGUUGAAGGAAACUUGAUCUUCGAAACCUCGUAUUACUAUGAACGAAGUUUCUCCAAUGGUAGGGGAUACUACCAUUCGUAUUCAAGUGAUUCGAGUAGUCGCGGAGCUCUGGAGUUCGAUUUACAUGGCUUCUGGUCCAGAACGACCGGGAAGCUUUGCAUGGUGGGAUCAGGCUACUCUUACUCCAAAGAAGGUAAUGUGCUCCAUCUUGCAGCUGUUCUUAAGUUCAAUAAUGUCAAGAGCUCUAGUGAUAUCAAUACUCUGAUCACUGGAACCAUGGAUAGCUUGAAUCCUGCCGAUGGACCGAAUUACUUUGAGCCAAUUUCGGUGUUGAUGUUUCCUCAAGGGAGUUACAAAUACACCAAGGUCGCGAAACAGUUUAGUCAAGGGUGCCCAGGGGGAACUGAUGUCCCCAAAAAGUCAUCCCUCAGCUUGUCAAGGACUAUAACUGUUUGUGAUAUGUUCUAUAGACAAACUGCUUUUGAAUUGGAAUAUGCAAGUGGUUGUGAUUCUUCAAAGAGUUGCAGUCCCUUUGGUGAUGGUAUUGGAUAUUUGCCUCGGUUCAUGCAUUUGAGGACGAUCCAGUGCUCGGAUGAAAAGCUAAGCUUGAGGUUUCUGAUAGAGUUUCAGGAUGAUGCCUAUACGAGGUAUUAUGCUUCUUCCAAUUUCAGUACUUCUUUAAUUGGAGAAGGAUCUUGGGAUGCAAAGCAGAACCGGCUUUGUAUCAUUGCUUGCCGGAUCGAAGAUGCAUCAAGCAGCUCCUUGGAGAAGUCUCAUGUUGGGGACUGCACAACAAGGUUGAGCGUAAGAUUCCCUGCAAUCCUAUCUAUCAGAAAUACAAGUACUGUUGUGGGUGAAAUUUGGAGUGACAAGCACAAGAAUCAAUCUGGUUUCUUCAAUAGGAUCAUGUUCCGGAAUACUGACAAUAACCGGGGGCAAUUUCAACUUCAAGGCUUGAAGUAUGAGUACGUGGAAACUGACAAAGUGAAUAAGUCAUGCCCAAAGAAGAGUAGUAAUAGGAACAGUACUGAAGAGCACCUAGAUGGCUAUUCUCAAGACAUGGCUUUUAGUAUGUCAAUCAAAUAUCAAAAGAGAAGUAUCGGAUGGGGUUCUUCCAAUCCUCUUGCAGUCGGCGAUCAACCUCAGCAGAGGUUUCCCCUUCUAAUACCAUCCUCAAGCUCAAGACCUAAAAGUGCUGGUGUUGAAUCAAUUGCCAGUGGUAGCUUGCUUAAUAUCAGCUAUAAGAUGAGAAUUGAGCUAAAUAAUUUGAAAUUGGAUCAUGGCCUCAAUUCAUUUAACCAAUCUUCAAAUGGAUAUUUAGAAAUCCGAAUUUCUGCUGAAGGGGUUUAUGAUGCUGAAACAGGUCAUCUGUGCAUGGUUGGCUGCAGACAUUUGAGGUCACUCAAUGGAUCAACGGACUGCGACAUCCUUGUAAAUGUUCAUUUUCCUCCAUUGGACUCAGAUAGGAAAGGAAGUAAAAUCAAGGGAAGUAUCGAGAGCACGCGUGUCAAAACCGAUCAUCUGCACUUCGAAACUUUGGAGUUUUCAGGACGAGCUUAUUAUGGUAGCUGGGCAAUGGAAUCAGUUUGGAGAAUGGAUUUCGAGAUGAUCAUGUCUGUCAUAUCCAACACUCUUGCAAUUGUCUUCGUAGUACUUCAAAUCUUUCAUGUGAGGAGGCUCCCUGCUGUUUGUCCUUCGGUUUCAUUUCUAAUGCUUGUCAUCCUAGCCCUGGGACACUUGAUGCCUUUGGUUCUAAAUCUCGAAGCAAUGUUCAAUCAAGAUAGUGAACGAACUGUCUGGGCAAGAAGCGGAACAUGGCUAGAAAUGAACGAGGUGGUCAUUAGAGCAGUCACAAUGGUGGCUUUUCUGAUGCAUUUCCGUCUUCUGAUGCUCUCAUGGACUGCUAGAUGUUCUGAGGGAAAGAACAAGCCCUUGUGGAUUGCGGAAAAGAGGGGGCUCUAUGUAUGCCUUCCUGUAUACAUAGCCGGAGGCUUAAUCACUGGCAUCACAAGACAGCAUUCGUCAUACUACAUAGAGCAGACCAUUUUAGGAGGUUCAAGAGCAUAUGCUGGUUUGAUCCUUGAUGCCUUUCUUUUCCCCCAAAUCAUCUUCAACAUGUUCUUAAACUCGAGAGAACCAGCUCUUUCUCGGUUCUUUUAUAUCGGAAUCACCCUUGUUCGCAUGGUCCCUCAUGGAUAUGAUCUCUACAGGGUACACAACUAUGUUGAUAUGAACGACUCGUACAUUUAUGCAGAUCCUACUGCAGAUUACUACUCAACCGCUUGGGACAUCAUUAUUCCUAUGUUGGGCCUGUUCUUUGCUGCAAUCAUAUACUUCCAACAGCGCCUCGGCGGUCGUUGUUUCCUUCCAAAGCGGUUCUGUGAAUCAGCGACAUAUGACAAGCUUCCAAUCGAUUCAGAGGAGCAAUCACCGUUGAAAUCUAGCCCCUAGAGGUGACAGCUUGUGUUACUACUACUUGUGCUUACCAUGAAAAUGUUCCUGUGUUCUGUUUCCGAAAUAAUUCUGUAAACUCGUCUGUUGUAUUGUAAGUUUCCAAAGUCUAAUGUAAUCUAAACAGUUAUGUAUCAUGAAACCAGUAUUUAUAUCCGAUGCAUAUUCAGCCACAGGUACUCGAGAUUGCAGGUAUAAUCCUUCAAAAUUCGAAUACAUGGAAAAACUUGGAAAAUAGAUAUCAACUUGAAACAUCAAACUGAUUCAUGGUUUUAAAUAUACACUUGUUUCUGUCUUUUUAAUGAUCAUUACAUGUAAUGUUUUUAUGCAUCUUAAAUGCAUUUCCGACAAACAGGGCAUGUUAGAUGAUUCUUGAGCCAAUGAUCAAUGCAACUCAAAUGAAACAUAUGUUUACAAUCAGGGAAAACCCUGCACGAUUCACCAACCACAUAAUCGUCCAAGCAAAUCGGGCACUCGCUCGAUUUCAAUGCAUGAUUAUCCACCCCAUAAGCCAUUGGUGGCAAUAGUUUCUCCAAGGCCUGUUGCCUCAACAACAAUCUCCCAUUUAUGCUCUCUGGGAAACCUUCAAGCAUAUCCAAUGGUUGCACGUAGUUAACGAUUAUGGCACGGUAAGUCGCAGUCCGGACUCGAUGAAUCCCUCUCCUUAGAAUAUCGGAAAACAACUUUUCGAAUAUCGGCCAACUGAGACAUUCGCAGAUGACGUAGAUGAAUAUGAAGACGAACGAGGUAGCAAUGAUGCAGGCUCCAACAAUGCAGGAUAAUAAGACAAUAGCAAUGCCAAGGGCUGUAAGAGAAGAUAUUAUAAGAGGUAAAUUUAAUGAAUGGACGGCGAAACUUAGCUUAAUCAUCCUCAUUAAUGUCUGUUUUUUUUUCUUUUUUUUGGCUUGAAAAUUGUCUUAAAAGACACCAAAAGCUUGUAGCUUUGAGUGUAAUGAAAGGAAAACAGGAGAAAAUUAUUUAAAUUGUUUGUAAGAGAUUGGAUUUGGGAUUCCAAUUUUAGGUAUUUGAUUCCAAAAGGUUGUUAUGUUUUUAAUGGAGAAAACUAUAACAGGUGUUUUGGGAGGUUUAUUUAGAUUCUGUCGUAUCAUUUUCCUUUAUAACCCAGAAAAAUGAAGCUGUAAAACCAGAUUUUCUUGCAAAAUUAGAAAAUAUAUAUAGAAAAAAACAAACUAAUCAUUAGUAGUUUUUACAUGUUUGACAUCUAAGAAAAUAUCCUUUUGAUUCUGAGAAUCAAACUAACAAUUAAAGACGUUAAAGAAAAUGAAAAAUAUAUAAACGACAUGUUUAUAUUAGCAUUAGCGGUGUGCAUGGGCCGGGCUACCCGGCCUGGCCUGAAGGCCCGCCCGAAAUGUGGGAGCGUUUGGGUAAAAAUAUAAGCCCGAAAAAUAUGCUUGGACAAAAAAAUAAAGCCUGUUUAAAAAAUGGGUCGGGCCUCUGGUAAGAUAUUUUUAGCCCGGGUCCGGCCCGGCCUGGCCCGGCCCGAAUUCACUAGAAGACAAAAAAAAUCUGCAUUUUUUUUUUAUUUUUGAAUGUUAUUUUCUUGUUGUUUUCUCCAUAUUUUGCUACCAUUUUACUAUUAUGUUGCUAUUAUUUUGUUGUUAUUGUUUAGAUAUUGUAUAAAAUUUAUUUUAUUGUUAAUUUUCUUAUUAUUUUAAAGGUAUUUGUUAAUUUUUUUUAUUAUUUUAGAAGCAAUUACUUAUUAAGUUGCAUUUAUCUUAGUAUUAUUUAAGUCUACAUAUUUUUCAAAAUUUAUUUUCAAUUUGUUGGGAAAUAUUUAUUUUGAUAUUUUUAGUAUUUUUGAUGUAUUAUUUAUAUUUUAAAAAAUAAUAAAAUAAUAUAAAAAAUUAAUACGGCCGGGCCAGGCCGGGCCCGAGUUUUAGUAUUUUUACCCGGGUCGGGCUUGGGCAAAAUUUUAGGCUCAUUUUUUGGGCCCGGCCCGGCCGAGCCCAAUAAAUGGGCAUGAUUUUUUAGUUGAGCCUGACCCGAACCCGGCCCGACCCGGCCCAUGAACACCUCUAAUUAGCAUAUAGGGCAAGCCUGGGAUAGGUAGGAGUGUUCACAGGUUGGUUAAAAUUGAAUUAAUUGACCGAAUCAAUUUAAUUUGGUAAAUCGGUUGGUGGUCAAAUUUAAUUAGGUCAGAAGUCGGUUAAUAAUUUUUCUAAAGUCUUAUUUAAUGUAUUCUCCUCUAUUUAAAGUUUUUUGAACUAUUAAAUAAAAGAAAAUGAAUAUUAACAAUGUAUUUUUUUAUAUGUUUUAUACUUAUUUUAACCAAAAGACAAAAAACAUAUAAAUUUUGGUUAAUCGAUAGAAUUAAGCGAAAUAUUUCGGUUCGAUUAUUGUAUUUGAAAAAUUUUUCAGUUCGAUUAUAAAUCAAGUUGAGGCUGUGUGGGGUUAUAUAACACAACCGUGUGGGGCUAUACACACAAUCGUGUCCCUAAGCCAUGUAGCAGUCUAAUGUCGUGAAAUCCAAGGUCAUACGGUCGUACCGCUAGUCCGUGUAACUCACUAUGGCUAUAUCAAUUAAAAACUAACCUAAAUAUGUAGCACACACGGUCGUGUCAAUCACCCAUGUGUGAUACACGACUGUAUGAUAGCUCGUGUGCAGCAUUAAUUACCUAUUUGAGCAAGUUUCAUACUAUCCAAAAUGGCCUAUAAUAUCAUUUUGUCAUUAAACUAAUACCAAAACAUACACAGUUCCAGACCAAAAUAUCAAUUCACAUAAUCAUUUAAAUAUACAACCAAUACACCUUUAUUGGCACUAACAAACAACAAACCCAAAUCAACCAACUGUCAUGUUUUAACUAUCUCAUUUCUCAACUUCAACAAUGUCAAAUAUAACAUUUACUUAUCACAAACCAAAGUCUAUAGUUAUUUCAUACCACCAUCUAAAUCAUAUGCAUAUUGCCAUACAAAACAUCAAACUUGACAUUUACCGUAAAUCAAAUAUCAAACCACAAACAUAAGCUUAUAUACUAAGCUAUUAUACCAAAGUUCAGACUAUUGUAAUACGUUAAUCCAACCUAUGUAUAUGUCACAAAUAACCAAACUUGAAAUGUAAAAUGUGUACCGAAUUGGAAGACAAAAGAUAUGUGCUUCUCACUAAUCCAAUCGACACGUUCCAAACGUCCAAAAUCUAUAAAAAAAAGUAGUAACACGAGUAAGUACUAUAAAAUACUUAGUAAGCUCAUACAAUAUAAACAAUUAACUUACCUUAAUCACUUACCCAAAAAAACAAUUCAAUAUGGAACAGUCUCGCCUAUCAUGGCAUUCAAGCAACAUCAACCAAAUGAGGUUUAAGCCAAAUCCAUAUAUAUGUAUAUAGCUUCAAAUGGUGAAUUACCAAAUUCAACCCAAUGUAUACCAUGAAUUCAUUUUCUAAUUUAUCUAUUUGCUCACGUGCACCAUUCAAUUUGCAUCAUAUAUACUUAUCAUAAACAUUCAUUAAAUACAUAAGGUUUUAAGCACAAACCAUAAACAUAACCACAAUAGUUCAUAUAUCUAUCAUAACUAACUUUUAUUAACUAUCCAUGUUAUAAACUUUCUAUAAGAGCCUUAUUUUGCCCGGCCCAUUAGAAACCAAAAAAAAAAACCAAAUAAAGUCCCAAGACCAUUAAAUGUCCAGUUACAAAGUUAAAUCGGCCCAUAUUUCCAAAACCCAAUUACAAACCCAUUAACUUAAACCCCUAACCUAAUUUUUCUGGUGGCCUGAUUGGCCCAAAACUCAAGCCAUUUUUUUGGAAAACUAGGAAACCCUAGUUUCCCCCUGGCGCCGUAGCCCUCCCACGUGCUUCGUCGGCACACCCAACACCCGAGGCCUGGUUCCCUUUUUUCGAUUGCACUAAAAUGGCAAGAACCUACCCCCGUUGACUUCGCCUACGCUUGCAAAAUAGAAACAAAAAGAAAGCAAAGAAGCAGAAGCAUAGCAAAACAGUAACAAACAGUAAAAGAAGGCCUUUGUAUUCGGCUAUAAGAGAACCUCGAAAAAAUAAUUUCUUUUACGUUACAAAAAGAAAUCAAUCAAAAAAUCGAAGGAUAUUCGGCUGAAAAGGUGGUCUUUCGUUCUGUUCUUACACAUUUUUUACAAAUUUAUUUAGUAUAGUUUGUGUACAUACAUAAAAAAGAGAGGAAUACGAUCGGUCUUACCUAUGUCGAGUUGGGGAAGUCGGAAUCGGAAGGUUCCUUUGGCUUUCUCUGACUUGCUAGGAGGUUUUUGCGUGUUUGGGGUUUAGAUUUGAGGUAAGGAGAGUGAAAGGGUUAAAAAGGGAUCUGUUUAGUACCUCUGGUCGCCGUGCACGGCGGUCGCCGGCGACGGACGAGCGGUAGUCCGAUCGCCGGAAACAGAGGCUCCCAAAAAACCCAAAACUCCCUUCCUUUUUUUUUUUUGUUUUAAAGCACAGCUGAAAUGAAGUUUUUGAAGAAAAUUUAGUCUUUUAUAAGAAGUAUAAAACGGCGUCGUUUAGGGCCGUUCCCAUGGCCUCAAAACGGCGUCGUUUAAGGACCCAGACCCGAAAUCCGACCCUAACCCGGCCUAGGAUCCGCGCGUUUUGGACUGAGGGUAUAUUUUCGCCCUCAGUCCUUCCGGUUUUGAGGUUUGGUUCAAUAGGGUCCAAUUCUUUUUUUAUUUCUAAUUUUUCCCCUGAAAUUUCCUUAAUAUUUUAUUCGGGUCCCUGAUAGAACUGCGCGUUUUGGGGGAGACGGGUUUAUUACCCAUCUGGUCCUCCCAUAUCAUUCGCGUUUUCAAAUUGGUCAUUCUCUCUUUUAUUUUUCUUUCAAAUUUGCCAUGAAUAUCUGUUUAAAUUUUAAAUUGGUCAAUGUUCGUUCUUUUUGCUAUUUUAUUAAUCAAUUAAAUAUCAUUGUUUUUAAUUAUAUUUUAUUUUUAUGCUUGUUAUUUACUAUUAUUAUCAUUAUUACUUUCAUUCUCUUGUUGUAUUAUUUACAUUAUAUUAUUGUUAGCAAUAACAACAAAAAUCUUUUUAUGAGAUAACAUACGACAUAUGAUGUCAUUCCCAUCAUGAACAUUAAAAAAUUUGAAACUUUCCUCUGGAAAAAUUUGGGAAAGAAGUUGUUUCUGCAAAUAAACAAGUCCAUGUUUCUCUGCAAUUUGACGAACAUCGGCCAGAAAGCUUUUGCCUUCAAAACGACUUGAAAUUUGGGUAUAAACAAAUCUUGCGAGAGUUGUUUUACCUAACCCGCCCAUUCCACAAAUCCCUAUAAUCUGAACACUAUCAUCUUCCUCCCCUAUGCCUAUUUUGCAAUUUAACUCUUCCAAACGUGAUUCAAGUCCAAUCAUGUCAGUAGGAGCACUUGCAAAUGUUUGACAUAAUUUUGUUGAUACCUUUUUAAUGAUUUCUCCAAUAAGUUCUGAUUCAUGCCUUCAAAUACAAAGCAAAGGAAAAAGCUUAGUGAAACUUUAAGGGCACAAUCCUUAGCUAAUGCCUCAAAUUUCAAACUUGAUGCUGGUAAGAUAUUAUUGAAGUGAAAGAAUAUGAUAGUUACCUGUUACUCAAGUGCCAUCCUUUGAUGUUAGCUACUUGAGUUAAAGCAGAUCGCCACCUUUGUGUCCUCUCUUUGUUGUCCUGGAAAUUAUUUUCAUGCUUAAGAAAAGCUUCUUGAACUUUUCCGGUUUGUUUUCUCAAAUCAGAUGGAUCCACGUAAUAGAAAAUGGGGAAGACAUUAUGUCCCUUGUCGUUUUUCUGUUGAAUAAUCUCGGAAAGCUCUUCUAGGCACCAACUCGAAAAACAAUACCCUUCCGAUAAAACGAUUACAGAGCACCAUGACUCAUGAAUUGCUUUGAAGAGCUCAGGUGCUAUGGGUUCACCUGUCUCGAGCUUUUCGUCAUCCCUAAAAGUGAUGAUUCCUCUCCUUUUGAACGCAGCAUAAAGAUGAUCCGUGAAGUUCUGGCGGGUAUCCUCACCUCUAAAACUCAAGAAAACGUCAUAUUUCCCUCGAGAAGUAGAAGAUGGUGAAAACAACGAAGGAGAUGACGAUGAUGAGGAAGAUGUCUCACUAUCGAAUCUAACCAUUGGCGUUUAGCAGCUAAAUUCAAAAUGAUGUUGACGAGGGUGAGACAAACGGACAGAGAAGGAAGAUAUAUCUCAAUCGUUGGGAUUUAAUUAGCAUUUACAGGUUUUUAUGGUUCUUUUGUCACGGAAAAGCUGGCCAAUUGGUACACCUUUAAACAAAAGAAUAGAUGAAAUUCUAAACUUUGAGAACUGCUACUCAAAGAAGGUUGAUGGAGAGUGAAUAACUAGGCUGCUUUUUUAUUUAAAUGACCCAAAAAAUUAAUUAAUUAUCAAAAUAAUUUUUUUUAAUUAAACAGUAAAAUAACUUGAAAUUUACUGUAAAAAUUAGUAAAGUCAAAUGAUUUGGCGGCAUCAAUAUGUCACAUCAAUAUCUAUAAAAAAAUUAAUUUUUUGGUGUAACCAUAUAAAAUAACAUUACCUGUAUAAAUAAUAUUAAAAUAUUAUAAAUUCUAAAAAUACGAGGGAUUUCAAAAUGAAUUUAUCAUUUUCUGGUCAACUCAAUUAAUAUGGCGACACAGACACCACUUUUUUUUUUUUUUUUUACGUUUGUCAUUUCUGUGACAUUUGUUUUUAUUUAUUUAUUUUUAUUAUUAAUUUUAAAAAAACUUAAAAUGUAUAUUUGAAAUGUUUUAUAUAUAUAUUUUAAAUUUUGAAUAUAUAUUUCAGAAAUUAUUUUUCUAAAUUUUAAAUAUUUUUAAAUUAUUUUUAAAGAUUUUAAAGAUUAUUUUUUAAAUAUUAAAUAUAUUUUUAAUAAUAUAAAACAUUAAAUAUUUUAAAGAUAUGAGCUUUCAAAUUUAUUAUUAGUUUUAUAAUAUUUCAAAUGUAUAUUUGAAAUGUUUUAUAAUAUAUAUUUUUUAAAUUUUAAAUAUAUAUUUUUAAAAUUAUUUUUUUUAAUUUUAAAUAUUAUUUUUAAAUUAUUUUUUUAAAAAUUUAAAUAUUUUUAAAUAUUAAAUAUAUUUUUUAAUAAUAUAAAAUAUUUAAAUAUUUAAAGAUAUGAACUUUCAAAUUUAUUAUUAGUUUUAUAAUAUUUUAAAUGUAUAUUUUAAUUUGAUUUAUAUAUUUUUUAAUUAUGAAUCUUAAAUAAUUUUAAAUUAUAAUUUUUAAAUUAUUAUAAAAUAAAUUAAAUAAUAUUAAAAAUAUUAAAAACUAAUAAUAAAUUUGAAAGGUCAUAUCUUUAAAAUAUUUAAAUAUUUUAUAUUAUUAAUAAUAUAUAUUUAAUAUUUAAAAAAUAAUAUAUAUUUAAUAUUUAAAAAAUAAUUUCAAAUAUACAUUUCAAAAUUUUUAAAAUUAAUAAUAAAAAAUAAGUAAAAUAAAUAAAAUAAAAUAAAAUAAAAAUAAAAACAAAAAAAGGGGACGAAAGUAAAAAAGUAAAAAAGAAAAAAAAAGGUGGCAGGUGGUGUCUGUGCCGCUAUAUUAAUUGGCUCCACUAGAAAAUGACAUUUACUUUGAAGUCCCUCAUAUUUCCAGAACUUGUAAUAUUUUCAUGGUAUUUAUAUAGAUGGCGUCAUUCUACAUAGCUCCACAAAAUUUUUUUUUCUUUUUAUAGAUGCUGAGGUGGCAUGUUGAUGGCGCUAAAUCAUUUAGCUCCACUAACUUUAACUGUAAAUUUCAAAUCAUUUUAAUGUUUAAUUAAAAAUAAAUUAUUUUAAUAAUUAAUUAAUUUUUUUAAGUUAUUUAAAUAAAAAAAGCCCUAACUAGGCUCUUAAGAGUACGAUGGCCAGGCCAUACGGGCGGUUAAAUACUAGACAUUAUCAGCACAGUGUAAACUAUAAUAAAAUAUUGCAAUGAUUACAAAGGACAAACAAUGAUGCUGGCAUGGUUAUUCAGAGGACAUUUACUAAUAAUAUUUUAGUGAAAAAAAUGAAUAGAUUGGCAGUAAGUUAACAUUUAAGUCUAUUUGUUUCAUCUUUAACCAAAAACGAUAUUCGAUAUUGCCCUAUAAAUUUGAUCUUUGACUAAACAGACAUUAAAAUAAGGAUAGGAAGCAAAUACGAACCAUAGUAAUCCUUUCCCUCAAUAUCAAGAUUGAGACAUGUUGAUGCAAUGAGCAUUAAAUUGCGUUUGCUAUGAUGGAUUUUUCGUUUUGAAAGUCAAGAGAUUUCCUCUCAAUGUUUAUUAUUAUUAUUAUUUGAAAGUUUAGAGAUUUACUAUCAUGGUUUUUCUUUUUCUUUUUUUUUUUUUAAGUUUAUAGAGACCCUUACGAAAUUGACAUAUUAACUAAACAGACAAUAAAACAAGGACAGGAUGCAAAUAGUUAUCCUUUAACAUCCGUCUCAUGAUUGAGACAUUUUCAUGCAUUAAAUCGAUAUAUUAAACGUAACCAUAGUUAGAUUACGUUUUUCACUUCGAAGGCUAAGAGGACAAAAGGUAUCAGAAUUGCGAAGUAAAUUCCUAAAUGGGAGUUGAUGGGGCAAUGAACACCCAAAAUUAACAAAUGUAUUAAACUCUAUGGCCUUAUAGUAGUUUUAACUAAGAAAGAUUUGACACCAUUAAGAGUAGGUGUUAGUCACAAGUUUCAAAGUUAUUUUAUAGUUAAGUUAAGGAUUGAACCCUUUACUACUAAUUAAGAUAAGAAAGACCUUUUUCAUUUCACCUAACUCUCUGAGAUUAUAUUCAUUUAGUUUUAAAAUUUUUAUUAUUUUAUGGUGCAUAUGUAAGAAUUAUAAAGUAAGUGCGCAUCUGGAUUCGUUGGAAAUCAAGAUGGCAACAUAACAUUGAACAAGAAAUCAGAUCUCAAGAUGAUAAUGAGGAGAUAUUAUGUCUUGAUUUUUAUGCAUCCUUAAGACAAUAAUGUGUAUGUUGGGUUUUUUUGGCAGCAUCAAAUUGGUUGAUGGUAGUUUGCCAUUAGAGAGGCCUGAUAAUGAUAAGAUUAGGGUGUUGUUAUCAAGAAUUAAUUAAAGUGAUGGAUCACUAUUAAUUAUUUGGAUUUAUAACUUUCUUUUAUUUGGUUGUUUUUGAAGAAAAUAACAAUUCUGCAUUAAUUUAUAAUAUUUUAAUAAAAAUUUGUAACAUAUAUUAUUGCUAAUUUAUAUGUAUGUGUUGAAAAAAACGUAAUUUAAGAAAGUAAGUUGAAAUUUUUGAAAUAUAUUGAUAUAAUUAAGUUGUUUUUAGAGAGAGAAAGGAUGAUGUUUUUUACGGGGUGUGCUUUCAGUCAUGUCUGUUGAAGAUGUGUCGUAUAAUAUGUGUUUUUACUAAAAAUUAACAAAUUAUUUCUUUUAGUUAGAUAGUUAAAUGUUAGUAUUUUUUUAAUUAAUAUUUUUGACAUAUUAGCUCUUUUGGUUAGAUGGUUAGAUAAUUGUGAUUUCAUCCUUGAGUCCUAAAUUCAAUUCUUCUUAUAAAUAUUUUAAUAUGUAUUUUUUAUUUCAUGUUGUUUCAAGUUUUUUUAAUUAAUAUUUAUAAUUAAUAAACAUAUUAUUUUCUAAGUUUUUUUUUGAAUUAAUAACUCUUUUAUUUGUAAAAUCAAAUAAUAAAUAUGUAAUUAUUUUUUAAAAACAUCAAUUAAUUCUUUAGAUAUAUUUUUCUGUAACAGCCGAUUUUUCAAUGGUGUCAGAAAUAAUAAUUUUGGGACCACAAGUCCGACGAGUAAAUUUAUAUAAUUAGUAUUUAAAUUAUACGAGUCAAUAAUAAUUUUUAUAAUGAAUUUUGAUUUGAGAAUUUUUAACUAAUUGAAUUAAAAGUUAGUGGUUCAGUUCAAAAGACAAAUGGUUAUUAAAAACGAGGUAUUAGGCAGUGCCUAUGGAAGUGGUAGGGAUCAACAACCUCAAAAAUGUCAUUUGGCAUCUUCAUUUCUUCUUCUUCUUCUUCUUUUAUUAUUAAAUAGCUACGAUAAAUGCUUUGGGUAUAGAAUCUGCCAUGGCUUAGGGAUAAACGGUGCUGUGUUGUUGCUAUUGUAGUGGAGUUCGAGUUCAAACCAAUGGUCAUAGGAGUUGGGAGACUAGAUUGGUAAUAAAAAAAGGUACCUCAUUGUGAUAUUUCCACAAACAAUUGGGUUGCAAUAUUUGUUUCUAGUUUUGGCAUAGACUGGAAGGUAGAGGAGUUGUGGAUUCCAUUGUCGUUUGGAUUUGGGUUAAUUCCGCUUCAAAAUUUCUAUUAUAACUUGUAAUCCAUUUCAUUAUUAAAAAAUAAUAAAAAAAUGCUAAUUAAAUGAUUUUAACCAAUGGUAUUUUCCGCCUAUAAAAAAAUUGAAACACAACUUGUACGGAAAAGAUAAAUCUAUAUGAAAGGAAAUGGAUAAUAAUAUAUAGAGCUAGGAGAGUAGUCGACGGUUUACAAUAUCUGAUUGACAAGAUUCACAAAAUAGAGUAAUUUUCCCCUGGUGAUCACCUGCUUUCGCAUUCAACCUGGAAGCAAAGCACGAAGAUAUGAAGUAAAUCAGCCUUACAAAACAGGAGACAAUAGCAUAUAUCAAUCAUUGAAGAUUUGCGGAAUACAAUGAAAAUAAGUGAAAGCUUAACCAUUUUUUUUUGACGGGGGAGCCGAUAUUAUUCUCGUUUGAUCCGUCAUUUGAAUGGAUAUCAUCAAAUUUUGAAGAAGUUGGCUCACUAUGCUCAUUUAUGGUAUGAUCCAUCUCUUCCAAAUCUUUCUCAUGCACUAUUCGAGCUCCACAUUUCUUCACCAAGGAAUCGAUGCCAAAGAUGUUUACUACAACCUCCAUUUGAAGUGGAGUAGCUAAUUUCCUCAAGGAAGACAAAUUUAUUUUGGCACAAGGAAAAUAAUGUAUCCAAAGGUGAUCCUCGGUCACCCUUGUAGAGUUCCCUUUUAAAUGACAGAAAGAACUUUCAACUUGUCGGGAGUACUUUCUGUUGUUCUAAUAGGGUUGGAAGCGUGUAAAUUAUUGUAUUAAAAAAUCACACAAAGUUCAAUUUAUAAGAAAGAGAGGUGGAUCACAAGGAUCUCCUAAGUACCAAGUCUUUCCUUAGUCAGAAUAUCCCUUCUAUCGUAAUUUAAUAGCACAAUUAAAUACUACUAUUAUACCCUCAAAUAUUGAAAGAAAAAUAGGAUAAGAAAGAAUACAAGAGUUGUUUUAACGAGGUUCGGUAAAUUAUACCUACAUCCUCAGGCAUUAACACCAGACGAUAACUUCACUAUCUCCAAAAUAUUACAAACAAAUAGAACUCCUUAAGAAUUCUCAAACGGGAGAAGAGAGAAAACUAAAAGAGAAAGAAUGGUUGGGAUUACAUGAAAUGAGAAAUGGGAAGACCUAUUUAUAGUUGAAAUUUAAUGAUCAAACCAUAAAUAGCCCAUUACCUCAAGGACCAAAAAAGAAAAUAUCCCAUGCCAAAUUUUUCAAGUAAAUUUUCUGUGCCAAUUGCACCUCCUAUUUUUUGACAUUUAAGUCAAACUUGAUGGCUGCCAUAAAUGUUAAUAAUCUGCCAUGCAAUUUGAUGCUGCAAAACCAUGCAAUUUUCAACAAUUUACCAUGCAAUUGUCAACAAUUUCUACCAUGGAUAACAGUUCUGUAGGAAAUAUGCUCCCCCUCCAAGGUUUAUUAUUGAAGUCAGAGAAGAAAAGACAGCAGAAAGCAAAUCCUAAGAACUAUGUAUCAUUCAGAAAAUUGGGAGGCAAUUGCAUCUCUAUUAUAGAUUUUGAAGAGACAUCCGUUUGACUGCUAAACCAUACUGGGAUUUCACUUCCUGGUAUGAAAAUGUCAUAAUAUUUUUUUCUUGCAUUUGCAACUGUCUGCAAACAAAGACACUUUUGCUUAAACUUGUACCAUAGGGAGCAAUAAUAGCAAAAAAUAAAGGUUCUAACCUUCAGACGUGUCUUCAGCAUUGUUACUGCAUUGUUACCCUCUGCCAAUUUGAAGCAGUUAAAAGCACAAAUAUAUAAACUAAGCCUUGAAGGGCAAGCUGUUGUUGACUGUGCAACUACUUCCAAUGAAGCACAACCAUCUAUCCAUAAAUCUAAGCCGGCUGGAAGCUCAGGCAAUGACUUAAGCCUUUUGCAAUCAGUCAGAAAUAGACGAGUAAGCUUGGAAAGUUGACUAAGAGUUGCAGGUAGGGUGGUGAAAUUGUUAUCACUAAGACGUAAAUUUUCCAACAAGGAUAAGCAGCAAAUAUCAUUAGGAAUAGCCCCCUCAUCAAGGUUGCAAUCACUUAAAUUCAGCUCUUUUAAAGUACUCAAACCUGACAAAAGUGCAGGUAGCCUCAAAGUCGUACAGUUCCAACUAGGACUUUUUUUUGCGCUCGAAAUAAAAGGCCAAUAUGCUCGUACUCUAGAUGGUGGUCCCUUGCAUCCUCGAAAGGACAAAAACUUCAAAUUUUUCAUAUGAAAAAUGAAGGACGGUGGUGUUGUUAUGGCAGUUCCGCUCAAGUCAAGCUUCUCCAAAGAUUUUAUUUGCUGCAAAUUCUCUGGCAAAUUUUCUAGCUUGGAACAACCAGAGAGAACAAGAGUUGUGAGGAAUUCACAACCACCUAUGCUGCUUGGGAGAUUCUCAAGCUUACAACAAUCGUUCAGAUUUAACAACACAAGACUCCUGAGAUGUCCAAUUGAAGAGGGAAGUUCGUUAAUACCAGUCCCAUCUAAAUGAAGCUUUUUCAAACACUCCAUUUCUCCCACAACCUCUGGAAUCCAUUUUAUAUUUGAACAACCUGAAAGAAUUAAUGUUUCAAGAGAUUCCUUUCCAAUUUUGGAAGGGAAACUCCUAAGCUUUUGCAGUUUCUUAAAUUCAAAAGCUUAAGCCUCCUUAGAAACCUGAUGCUUGGAUGAAAAUCUGCUAUUCCAGUACCUUCCAAAACCAAACUUUCAAUGUUUGGGACCAUUCUGAAAUCUGGUGUUUUCACAAGAUUUCUAGAGCAUUUGAGGUCGACCAAUUUUAACUUAUGCAAAGGCUGUUGGAAAAAAAACAAUAGAAAAACAAAGAAUUGAAAUGUCAUUUUCUUUUUUGUUUCUUCGCUAUCUGUGUUAGGCAAAUAAUUGAUAAAACAAUGUAGUUCCUACCAUGUCUGGCUUCCAUAAUUUUUGAAUGAAGCUAUAAGGCAGAAGAAGUGCAACAAGCUUUUCUGGUUGGAAGCUUGAAGGGAAGGAUUUGAAAGGAUACCCAUGCCACUCCAAAAGUCUUAACUCGUUGCUAAGAUACUUAAUAUCACGAGAAUUUGGGGCAUUCAAGAAUCUGAGCAAUCUUAACCUUUUUAUCUUCAAGAAGGCAUCAGCACUCAAAGUCCAAGUGUUCUGUUUCCUGAUAACCACCAAAGGAAAAAGAGGAAUGAGCUUUACAAUAUACAAAGUAAUCAACUACAUAUACACAGAUAGGUGUAUGAAUUUAAACCUGAUAGAAUCGAUGACUAGACCUUGAACAGCUUCCUUUCCUGAAAAUUAAAGCAAUCAACUAAUUAAUAUGGUAAAUUUAAUGACUUAACAGUACAAUGCACGUCCAAAAAUAGUUCAAAGCUAGACUUGCAUCCUAGUAUUGUAUGAAUCAACAAAUAUUCAAGGGUGGAGUAACAGUUAUUAGUGCUAAAGACUUACAGUGUUUUUUAUUAGCACGUAAUAAGUAUCCUUUUCCUCCCACAAUCUGCAACGUUUUCCAGCUUCAUUAGGAGAUUCUUGGUAAACAAUUUUCCUUCCCAUCUUUUGUAACAAUUCAUGCAUCGACAAUUUGUUGUUUUCAUCAAUUGUUAUAAGAGAUUUCUUGAUGAGAACAUAUAUUCCAAUAUCUGGGAAAAAGCCACAACCAUCAAGAAUUUUGGUUACCAUAUCUUUGUCUUCUUCGUUGAAGAUGCAUGCAAUAUCUAAAAAUAUAUCUUUCUUUGACUGUUCUAACCCAUCAAAGCUUAUUUGAAGCUUGUCUAGAAUUUCUUUGUUGUACUCCUUUUUAAGUCUUUCAAUAGCACUUCUCCAUUGAGCUUCAUCUGAUCUGCCAGAUAGAAAAGAACCAAAAACUUCAAGAGCUAACGGAAGGCCAUUGGCAUAUUCCACUACACGUUCAAAAAGCUCAAAAAAUUCCUUUGCAGGUGUUUCACUUUUGAAAGCUUUCAAACUGAAAAGGCAAAGUUGUUGAAGUUUGCCUCUAUAUAGCUCAUGCAACCAAGGAUAAAUUCAUGCAACGUAAGUUAUGCAGAUAAAGUAUGAAAAAGUAGAUCAAGCUGCUGUAACAUUGCCAGAUGAAAUACAUGCAACUGAGGAUGUUAAUGCUACUGUUCUAUUUCAGUUUCAUUUUGUUACUUCAAUCAAUAUUUUGUAACUUAGUCAAGUUCAAACUAAGUGAAUGACACAAUUAGAUAGUAUUGAGCUGACAAAUCAGCUUGUUAAAGUGUACAAGCAAUGUUUUACAAGUUUCAAUGUUGCUUUGUGGUAGUAGGUGUUUGUUUAGGUGAAAUUUGUUCAUUUUGACUAGCUUGUGUCUAGUAUAUGUAUUGGCUUUUAGCCUUCAUUAAGUUAAUGAAAAUUCAUUAGAAUUUCAUCCAAAAAUACUCUCUCUCUUUCUUCGCUUUCAUUCUAUUUUUCAAGCUCAAAUCUACUAACUUGAAUUUCAAGUUCUCUUCGUUUUUUAUCCGAAUUUAUUACGUUGUUGCCCAAGUUUCUCACAGAGCUUCAUACUUCCUCCGGAUAAAUUAGUCACAAACCCCAACAAUUGAUAUCUAGAGCCUUAUUCUUAGUAAACCUGUCAUAUUUCAAUCCUUAAAACCAUGUCUUCCUUAGAAUUCUCACCAGCACCACCACUAGUAUUCAAUGGAGAGGGCUACCAUAUUUGGGUAAUGAAAAUGAAGACCUACCUGCAGGCAUUCGAUUUGUGAGAGGUUGUCAAAUUAGAUAUUGAACCAGCACCACUUAGAGCCAACCCAACAGUGUCUCAGAUCAGACAGCAUGCUAAUGAAAGGACCAAGAGGCAUAAAGCCAUGUCUUGCAUCCAAAAUUGUGUGUCAGAUGUAAUCUUCACAAGGAUCAUGGCCUGUGAUACACCAAAGCAGGCCUGGGACAAGUUGAAGGAGGAGUUCCAAGGGACUGAAAGAAUAAGGCAGCAACAACUUUUGAAUUUGAGAAGAGAGUUCGAGAACUUGAAGAUGAAGGAGGAAGAAACUGUCAAACAGUAUUCACAUAGGAUUAUGGCUGUGGUAAACAUCAUAAGAUUGCUUGGAGAAUAAUUCACUGAAGCAAGGAUAGUGGAGAAAGUGAUUUCAACCUUACCAGAGAGGUAUGAGGCAAAAAUAUCAUCCCUGGAAGAUUCAAGGGACCUGACCAGCAUCUCCUUGACAGAGCUAAUAAAUGCUCUCUAUGCGCAAGAGCAAAGAAGAGCCAGUAAACUAGAGGAGCACCAAGAAGGUGCCUUCCAAGCCAAAACCAAGCCAACCUCGGGCACAAAUGCCUACAAAGGCAAAAAGACCUGGAGAAACAAGCCUAAAGCAGAUGGUGAAAGAAGACAUCCACCCUACCCACAUUGCAGAAAGCUAAGUCAUCCGGGUGAAGUAUGUUGGUUUAGGCCUAAUGCGUAGUGCAAAUACUACAAGAAGAUGGGCCAUGUUAAAAAAGUUUGAAAAAAUAAGGGCAAACCAAGGUAGAAUAAACCACAACAGCCAAAGUGUAAUGGCCUAAAUUCAAGGUUAUCGGAACAAUGGUUUCGUAGCCAUAGAUCCGAUUUAAAGAGAAAUUUAUUUUAAUAUUUUUGCUUGAAAAUUUAUAUGAUAGGAAAAUCGUAUGAAAAUAUUGAUAGGAAAAUUUUAUUGAUUUAGUGAUUAGUUAGAAAAAGAAAUUAUUGAAGAAAUUGGGUAAAAUAAGGUAUCGGGACCUCUAUCUCAUAAAACCGAGUCAAAAAUAAUUUUAUAAAUAUUUAUGAAAUGUUAUUAAUGUGGUAUUAAAAUUUCGUUAGGAAAUUUUAAUGUUUGGGUAGUCAAUUAAAUGAAAAGGACUAAAUUGUAAUAGGUGUAAAAGUUGCUAGAGUGAUUAAAUAGCUUAAGAGUCUAAUGAGAAAGGAUUUAAAAGGCAAUUAGACCCAAAAGUUAUUUGGGCUGGACGGCAAGGGUAUGAAAUCAGCAGAAAAAUUGAUAAAUUAAGGGUAAAAUUGGAAUAUUGCAAAAUUAACUAAAUAAAACUAGGACUAAAUAGGAAAUAUCUAGAUUUCUCUUCAAUUCCAGCAGCUAAAAACGCCAUAGGAGGGUUCUCUAAGCUGGUAUUUCAUAAUUUUUGCACCAAAUCCAGAAGAUUCAAAUACAAAGCUAGAUCGAGGAAAGGAAAAAGUUCGGGAUUAGUAGAUUUUUACUGUUUACAAACAAGUAUCAAGGUAAGUUCGUGUAACUUGAAUUAUAUUCUUAAAUGCUUGAGAUUGUAUGUUAUUGAUGUGAAUAUGAUUUGAGUGUUCAUUGUAUGAAAAUUAAUGAAACAUUGAUAUAUUUGAUAAAAUGGGAAGAAAUCCCGGUUGAAUGAAAGGAAAAUUCGAUGGAUCUCUGAAAAGGAAUUGACGGUAAAAAGGAUCUAGCCCGGACGGGUGAUCCUAUCCUGAUAUAACCCUCCCGAAGAAUAUGUGUAAAAUGGAUUUAGCCCGGACGGGUAAUCCGAAUUAGGGUCUGAAUUUAGCUUGGACUGGUAAUUCAGAUCCAAGCUCAUUAGAGUAAUUGUCGUUGCAGGGGAUUUAGCCUGGACUGGUAAUCCCGACAAUACUCUAUGAGUUUAUAUUGCAGGGGAUUUAGCCUGGACUGGUAAUCCCGCUGCAAGGUUGAGGUUCGCGGGAGUAUGCUCUCUGAAAUGGAUAUGUGCGCACAUGAAUAUGAAUUAACGGACCCGGAAUUGUACAAUAAAUGUGUACCUCUGAAAAUCCAUCGAAAUUUUGAUAAAUUCAAUAGGAUAAGUAUAAAAAAAUAACAAGGAAAUGGAAAUUAUGAUAUUGAUGAGCUCAUCAAUCAUGGUAUAUAUUAUUGGUACAUGGAAAUUAUUGUACUAACUUGAAUGUUGAGUUUGUGCAUAUUAGGGUAAUAAUGCAUUGAAUGGAUAUAUGGAGUUUAUUGUAUUGUAUUGAAAAUAUUAGGUAAGUAUAAUUCUUGUUACAUGAGCUUACUAAGCACAAAGUGCUUACCCCGUUUCCUUUUUCCCUAUUUUGUAGUGUUAAGAGCUCGGAGGUCGGAUUUGGUCGGAGACACAUCACACUGUCAACCUCAGGAUUGCGGUAUAUAAAGAAACUUUAUUUUGGAAAUCAAUGGCAUGUAUAAGCUAACAAAGUAAAUGUUAACGUGAAAUGAAUGUAAAGUUAGCCAUUAGUAUGGUUAACAAACCUGGUUAUAGAUAUGUGAUGACGUUAUCUUAUAUAAAUGCAUGAAUCUAUCAUGAAAAUAUGUUGAAUUGAUUUGGUUGAUGUGGAUUGGUCUCGAUUUAAUAUUACAGGGAAGGUUAGAUAUUUAUAAAAGGGCUAUAUUGAAUAUAAAAAAAAUUUAAUUCGUAAACUCCGGUAAUGCAUCGUACCCUAUUUCGGCAAUGAAUACGGGUAGGGGUAUUACACAAAGGCUGAAGCUCGAGUAGCUAAAGAGGGCAGUAACCAUGAAGAACAGGUCUUUGCAGUCUCUUGCUCGGCUACAAAAGAAAAAACCACAAAAGGUUGGCUGAUUGACAAUGGUUGCACAAACCACAUGACACCAAAUGCUACCAUUUUCAAGUCAAUAGACAGAAGUUUUAAAACCAAGGUGAAUGUGGAAAUGGCCACUUCAUCAAGGCAGAAGGUAAGAGAGAUGUGCUGAUUAGCACUCCCACAGGUAACAAGCUAGUUUCAAAUGUUCUUUUGGUACCUGAAAUUGAUAGAAAGCUGCUCAGCAUAGGUCAGUUGCUUGAGAAGGGCUAUACUAUAGUGUUCAAAGGCCAAGAGUGCCAAAGCAUAGAUCCAAGUGGAUCAAAGCUCAUGAUAGUAGCCAUGACAGAUAAAAGUUUUGUUGUUGAUUGGAAGAAAACCUCAAACUUAGCUUAUACAGCUUCUACUAAUGAAUCCAAGCUAUGGUAUCAAAGGCUUGGCCAUAUCAACUUCAGGUCCAUGGCUCAUAUGGUCAGGGAUGAUUUGGUUGAAAGCUUCACUAACUUAGUCAGAAAAGAAGAAGUUUGUGAGGUAUAUCAGAUAGGAAUGUAGGCCAGGUUGCCAUUUCCUUCAAACAAAGCUUAGAGAGCUUUUGAAAGACUACAACUUGUACACAUUGAUGUGUGUGGUCCAAUGAAGACUCAAUCUCCGAAUGGAAGUAGGUAUUUCAUCUUAUUUAUUGAUGAUUACUCGAGAUAUUGCUGGAUUUAUUUUUUGAAACAGAAAUCAGAAGUGGCUUUAAUAUUUUUGAAGUUUAAAGCUGCAGCAGAGACUGAAACAUGUUGCAAGUUAAAGACUUUGAGGUCAGACAAUAGGACUGAGUAUACUUCAUCCAGGUUUAAUACCUUUUGUGAUGAAGCAGACAUUAAACACCAGCUCACCAACACUUAUACACUUCAAAAAAAUGGUGUAAGUGAAAGAAAGAAUAGAAGCUUGAUGGAUAUGGUCAGGUGUCUGAUGUUUGAGAAGAAUUUGUGGGCUGAGGCAGCUAACACUGCUGUUUACAUUCAAAAUAUGCUCCCAACCAAGGCUUUGACUCAGAAAACUCCAUUUGAGGCCUGAUUCAGGUUCAAGCCAUCUUUAGCUCACCUAAAGGUGUUUGGUUGCAUAUGUUUUACACAAGUACUAGUUGUAAAAAGUGUGUGACAGCUCUAAUUUGACCCUAGUCGGGAAGUGGUUUUGGCACCACAAAACUGAGUCACAAAAUUAUUUAAAUACUCUUUUCUAUGUUUAUUAUAUGUACAGUAUCAUGUGUGAAAGUAUCAUGUCUAAAUUUUGUCAUUUGAAUGUGAAAUUAUGAAAAAAGACUUAUAUGAUAAAAUUGAAGAAUGUGUUAGGAAGAAAUGAGGUGACCGAAUAAUGCAUGGCUUAUUAAAAGGAAGGACUUGCAUGUUAAAUUGUCCAAUUUAAAGUUAGUGGCCGGCCAUGAUGAUGAUGAUUUGUAAUAUAUGCAUUUUAUAUAUAUAAGAAAUAUAAUUAUUAAAUGUUUUAUAAUAAACAUAAGGAAUUAAUAAAAGAAAAGAAAGCCAUACAUCCUUACCUUGUUCUUGCCGAAUGUUUGAGAAAGAAAGAAGAAAUAUGCUUUGAGGAUUUCGGCAAUGUAGCAAGCUAAAAAUUUAAGGUAAAUUUCAUGUAGUUUUUGUUAAUUUUUAAUAGAUGUGUGAUCCUUGUUUAAUUAGUGUUAAAGCCCAUGUUGAAAUUUUGAUUUCGGUUGAGGUAUGUGCAUUCGGUCAUAGAGGAAAUUGAAUAAAAUUUGGUUGUUUUUCUUAAUUAAGGAGAGAAAUUUAUGAAUCUAUAAUUAUAAGUGACUAAAUGGUAAAAUAAUGAAUUGGAGGGACUUGUAUGUGAAGAGAUGGCAUUCAGUUAAGAGUAUCUUUGACAAAUUUGGUUCUUGUUAUUUUGCAUGAACUUAGAUUAAUUUGUAAGGACUUGAAAAUACUAAGGAAUAUUUGAAUGAAGUGAAAUAGAUAGAAUGUUGAGUAAUUACAUGUUAAGGAUGUUAAGGCUUAAUUGUUAAUGUCCGAAUUCUAUAAAGGGGGCUGUUAUGCGAAUUAAUUUUAAGUUGUGUUAUUUUAUAUAUAUAUAAUAUAAUCUAUGGGGUAAUGUGAAGUGGAUCAAUUGAUCGAUUAAAUAGUUGCUUUACUUUAAUUCAAGCUCAAGACCCAAAGAACCGAGAUUUGGAUCGGGAAAGACGAAGUUAGCUGAGUAGUCGACACUAUUGUACGAAGUUGUUGAGGUAUGUUCUUAAGUAAUUUAAAUUCAAUUCGGUAUGCUUAGAAUUUAAAUAAACAUAUUAAGGUAAAAUGCUUGAUUAUAUAGAUGUAUAAAUAUAAUGUGAUGGAUAUAUGUUUGGAUAAAUGAUUAGAGCCGAAUGUGGCUAAAUUAUUAAUCCGAAAUAGACAUAGAAAUAUAAUGUGCUGCAUGUGUGUUUGAAUAAAUAAAUUGAACCGAAUGUGGCUAUACUUUUUGAAUUGAAAUAGACAUUGAGACAAGGUGCCGAAGGUAUUUUCAAAUGAAAGGAUUGAUGAAAUUGAUGUGUAUUAAAGUAGUUGUGUUAUGACUCAUACUAUGUGUAAUCUUAGCAAUGAGCUAAGUAGUGAAUGAUUGUAACAUCGGGCUAAAAGCCUAGCAGGCAUAUUGCCGGUGAUGUGAUUCAGGUUAUAAUUCUAGCAGGCUACAUGCUGGUAUGAUUUUUCGUGACUAAGAAUUGAUGUGUUUUUGAACAAGUUAAAAAUGAGUGUAAAGCCAAGUAUGAGUUAAAUUGUUAUUAAUUCGUAAUAAGGUACGCAUGUGAAUAGUUAUGAGAAUUUUUGUAUGUAAUUUAUGAUUGAAUGAUGGCUAUGAUUUAAAUGAUAUUGAUUUGGUAUAUCCAAUUGAAGUAUAAAUUAUGAAAUUAUGAAAGAACAGGUGAAUUGUUUAUCGAAAUGUGAUAUUCGGGCCUCGGCAUAGCAAGCUUUAAGCUGGUGAAUAAUAUUAUCGGGCUUCGGGCCUAGCAGGCUAUAAUACCGGUGAAAUGAUAUCGGGCUUCAAGCUUAGCAGGCGAGAUGCCGGUGAAUGAGUUCAGACUUAAAGUCUAGCAGGCUUUGUGCCGGUGAUGAAUUCGGGUUUAAAACCUAGCAGGCUAAAUGUCGGUGAUUUGAUAAAAGUGUAAGACUAUGAAACCUUGUGUUAAAUCAGCAAUUGAAUUCGUUCAAUACAUUAAGUUGGCCAGGUAUUUGAUAUAUACUUAUACAUGUUAGAUCGAUUGGAAUUGAAUCAUGAAUGUGAAAUGAGAAGCAUAGGUGAAGAUGUCAUAUGUGUAUGUGUGUAUUCGGUCAUGGUGAAAGGUUAUAUGAAUUAUGUGAAAUACCAUUUAGAUAUGAAUGACGAAAGUAACUGUGGUUAUGAAAUGGUACAAUGGUUGAAUUCGAUUGAAUUAAAGUUGACACUGAAGUAUUUAAAUGCCUAUGUCAUAUAUGUGAGUAAGGGUAAAACCAUCGUAAAUUAUCGAUAAGGGUGGGCUAUGUGCGGAACCAUCUUAUAAUUACUAAUUUGAACGGUUGUGUGCGAAUCAUUGAGCAUGAUGUAUUGUAUUGAGAUUAUGCUUAAGUGAAAUUAUAGAUAUGUGAUGAAAUUGAUUAGUGAUAUACAUGUUUAAAUAAUAUGAAUGCAAAGAAUGUGUGAAAGAGUAAAUUUGUAAUAAAUCUGCUUGGGAUAGCAGCAGUAACGUGAUUUUGGAAAAUCACCAUAAAUUGUGGGAGUUGAGUUAGAAUCUGAAUAAAUUAUGUAAUUAAAGCUUAAUGAGCCUAGUUUCUUAUAAAAGAAACCGUGUAAGCAAAAGAAUUGCUGAUAAUGAGAUAUUUGAAGUGGCGUGGGACAGAGUCAAAUGACUUCGGGGUCCACUGUUCUGUUUUUAGAAAAUCAUUAUAAUUUGUACAGAGUCUAGUUUCAAAUGAAAUCAACGAGAACAUAUUUUGAAUUCUGUACAAUUAGAAAUUUGAUUCGUAGUGAAGAGUGGUUAGAUUAGUCAAAUAGUGAAACAUGGGAAAUUUUAAGAAAAAUCUCGUAUUGAUUUGCCAAACCAAAAAUUCUGAAAAUUUUAUGGAUAGGAGAUAUAUGAGUCUAUUUUCAAGAAAAAUUAACGGCAAUUGAUUUGGAGUUUCGUAGCUCCAGUUAUAAAUAGUUUAGUGACUGUUGCUCAGGAAGACAACUUGUAGUGAAUUUGUGAUUAUGUUGUAAGCAUUGAUAAAACUUGUUAAUGAGUUGCUUAUUGUUUUCUUAUGAACUUACUAAGCAUAAAGCUUACUUCCCUUUUCUUUCCCAUAUUCCCUAGGGUUACCAGGUUAGCUCGGGUUGGAGGCCGUCAGAGAUAUUAUCACAUAGUCGAGUCUACGCUAUCGGCGUAAGUAAAUCUUAGUGUUUCGAGUCUAUGGCAUGUAUAGGAUUGUAAAGUUGAGUAUGUAAUAUUAUGAUUAAGCCAAAGACUUUGGCUUGUUAUUAAGGUAGUUUGAUUAUUCAUAUGCUUGUAUGUUAUUAUCUCCUGUGAUGUGGUUUAUAGCUUGUAUAUUUAGAAUUUGAAUUGUGAUUCAUCGUUGAGUAAGUAAAUGAUACAAGACUAAGAUAUUGGUAAAUAUUUAAUAAUACCUCAUGAAUGUUUUGGGGCCUUGUAAGCCCGAUUAAAGGAUAAUAUACGUGUGUAUGAAAAGUUUAAAAUUGAUCAAAAAUUUUUACGGUCUAGUUUUAUAUAAAUGGUUGAGUUUAAAUCUGGUAGCACCUCGAACCCUGCUCCGGCAGGGAUACGAGAGAAAGGUGUUAUAUUUAGUGGUAUCAGAGCAUGGUUUAGUCGAUUCUCGGACUAACCUAGCUUAAGAGAGUUUAGCUAUACAUGCCAUAGUAUUACUCGUGAUAGUGUGAUAUCUCCCGGCCCUAACAAAAUUAUUGGUUAAGACAGGAAUGAGUUCCAACCGAGCAAAUCUUGAUAGAGAUAAGAGUAAAAUUUAGAUUAAUGAAUCAUGCUUGUGAUAUGUUGAAAAUGGGAAAGGUAUGAAAAGAAAUUUAUGAUUCUUUUUACAUGAAUUAGUACUUAUUUUGUGAUACUAAUGAGUUAAAGAAUAGGGAAACGUGGAAUGAAAUGAAAGUUAAGUUGUGAUAAGCUCUUUCGUACAUGUCAGUAUUCACAGGAUGAUACGUACCUAACUCAUUUGACUUAGUAAUUAUGAGGAGAAAAUUUGUUUGAAAUGACAGAAUGUAUGAAUAAAUGCUUUUAUUGCCUGGUUAGUAAUCAGUAUAUGCAUGAAAUUGACAUUUAUGUCUAGACUAAUGAAGUCAAGAUGUCGUAAUGUUAUGCUUUAUAAUCUCAGUUACAGAUUCAUAAAUGUCACAAUAGCAUGAAAAUUGUAAUGACGGAUCAAAUUGGGUGGAACACAGGGAAUGAGUACGAUGGUUUACUAAUGAAUUGACGGAAAAGACCAUGGUUGGACCAUGGCAAUACAUGAAAUAUGAAAGCUAGUGUAAGUCAUGUCCGAGACAUGCAUCGGCCUCGUAGGUGCAAGUGUAAGACCUGUCUGGGACAGGCAUCAUCACCGAGACAGAGGAGCUAGUGUAAGACCCAUCUGGGAUGUGGCAUCGGCUCAACUUGUGCUAAGCGUAAGACUUAUCUGGGAUAGGCAUCGGCACGACAAUAGCAGAGCUAGUAUAAGACCAUAGUUGGACUAUGGCAUCAAGUAGGCGAUGUACUCAAAACCAUAAGACGUUCUCCAAUUUGAUAAAUAGUGACAAGUGAUCAAGAUUAGACGUAGAAACUUGAUAAGAAAUUUUUGGUAAUUUGGGUAAAAGAAAUGAAAGUUUGAAAUGUGAUAAAUUCACUUAUGUUUUGCUGACAUUCACAGGAAAUAAAGUUGCAUGUAUUACUGAGAUGUAUGAAAACGUGUUCAUAAUAAGUUGGAAAUUUGAAAUGUUUGAAUCAAUGUGUGUAAUGUUAUGUUGUUGUUGAAUGUGUAUUUGCUUGAGAGUCAAAAGUUUAAAGGCUUUACAAUUUUCGCCCCUUACCAGAAUAGAGUUAUACAGUGAGAUUCUCGAGAGAUACAUUGCAUGAGUUUGCAAAAGUGAAAUUAAAGAGUACAAUAGUGUAAUAGUAUGGGAUUAGUGAAAAUAGAAUUAGACGGUUGAGUCAUGAUUGAAUUAUAUUGAUGGCUGAGUGCAGUAGUUAUAGUCGGGCAGUUACUAUGACUUCUUCAGGGCAUUCUAUGUGUACAUUUAUCUUCAGAAGUAUAUGUGACGGUUUAAUUUCAGAAGGAAUUUUUGUCAUAUAAGAACAUUAGUUCAGCAUACUAAUAAACGAAAGCAUCGUUAGUUUGUUUGGGUUAUGUUCGACAUUGCUAUGUCUUUCUUUGGUAUUUAUUCCCAUAUGUGAAUAUGAAAAUCAACAGAAAAUCUGUAUGAUGCUAAUACUCUGUUUCUACUGAUUAUUGUUCGGUUGAAUAUUCGUGAAGAGUAUAUUGUCUCUGUUACUAUGGAUUUCAGUAAUUACGAGUGACAUUGUUCUUUCUGGACAUUUUUUGGGAUAUCAUCGGAAUUGAUAUCAUUCUAUAUGGGUGGUAAUUUACUGAUAUUCUGUGUAACUUCAGACAUUGAAAUUUUUCUAUAUCGAUUUCUUAUGAUUUCAUGUGAUUAUCUGUAAGAAAUAUUUAUUUGACAGAGUUGAUUAUGUUUAUUAUGAUUAUAAUUUCUGGCUUGAAAUGUGAGAGUAUAGUGGUACCGUCAUUAGAGUUAUAGAAGUUGUGAUUCUGCAUUGGUUGAUGUUUAAACCAUAUUUGAUUCUCUUCUGUGUUCAAAUAUUUCAUUAACAAUCGGGAUAAUAUUUAUUAUAGGGUUGAGACAUUUUUCCUAUUAAGGCCCAAAGAUGUCUAUCUGGUUAAGGUGACUUCAGUAUAAUUCAGAGUUUCGAUGAUUAUUAUAUGAGACAGUUUUAUUAUAAUUUUUUUUUCUUUUCCUAGUUAUUGUGAAAGAUUCGACAUUAUUAAAAGUGAAAAUGAUAGAAGAUCAAGAUUAAAUCUGUAUAGUGAUAUUUCAAAGGUUAUCUUUCUAGCAAGAAGAAAUAUGUGAUUUGAGGGAUAGUCUAGAAGAAGAAUCUGUAUUCGUGAAGAUUUGGUACAAAAAUUAUAUCUGGUUUAAAAUUGAUCAAAAAUUUUUACGGCCUAGUUUUAUAUAAAUGGUUGAGUUUAAAUCUGAUAGCACCUCGAACCCUGUUCCAGCGAGGGAUACGGGGGAAGGGUGUUACAAAGAGGCAAGCUGGAUAAGAAAGUUCAAGCAGGCAUUUUGCUAGGCUACAGCACAGUCAAGAAGGGCUAUAGGAUCUUGGAUCCUUCAACAAACAAAGUGCUUGUGAGCAGAGACGUGGUGUUCAAUGAAAAGGCAAGUUGGAAUCGUGAGAAGAAUGAGCCAGAGGCAGUUCCUGAAGACCUUGUAACAGAUCAGACUGAAGCAGAUCAAAAUGGUCCAGAAAUGGACAUUGAUGAUGAACCAGUCAGAGGCACUAGACCUUUGGCUGAAAUUUAUGAAUGAGCACAAGUAGCAAUAGUAGAACCAAGCUGCUUUGAAGAGGCUGAAGCUCAACAAGGCUGGAAACAAGAAAUGGCUGAUGAAAUCAACAUGAUUGAGAAGAACCAGACAUGGGAACUAGUUGAAAUACCAGCCAAUAGGAAGAUCAUUGGGGUGAAAUGGGUCUAUCAAGCCAAGCAAAAUGCUGAUGGUAGCUUGAAAAAAUUGAAGGCAAGGCUGGUUAUGGAGGGAUUCAGUUAGAAAUAUGGCAUAGACUACCUAGAAACUUUUGCAUUAGUGGCUAGGCUUGACACCAUAAGGCUACUAGUUGCCUUAGCAGCACAAAUGCAAUGGAAAAUCUAUCAGCUCGAUGUAAAAUCAGCCUUCCUCAAUGGUUUUCUUGAAUAAGAAAUAUAUGUUGAGCAGCCUGAAGGCUUCAAAAUUGUUGGUAAAGAGGAUAAGGUGUACAAACUGAAGAAAGUCUUGUAUGGCUUGAUAUAGGCUCCAAGAGCCUGGUAUAGUAGGAUCAAUGGCUAUCUAGCUAGCCUUGGAUUUGAAAGAAGCAUCAGUGAACCUAAUUUGUAUGUGAAAAAGAAAGGUAGUAAAACUCAACUGAUAAUGUCUCUAUAUGUUGAUGAUCUGUUAGUGACAAGAGGAGAUCAAGCAAUGGUGACAAACUUCAAAUGUAAAAUGGAACAAAUGUUUGAUAUGUCUGAUUUGGGACAAAUGUCGUACUUCCUUGGUAUAGAAGUAUUUCAAGCUCAGCAUGGGAUCUUCCUAAGUCAGUGAGCUUUUGCCUUAAAGAUCUUGAACAAAUUCUCCAUGUAGAACUGCAAGGCAACAAACACACCAAUUGCCAUUGGAGAAAAGCUAUCGAGACAAGGUGAUUCUGAAAAAGUCAGUGAAUCAACAUAUAAAAGUCUAGUUUGAUGUUUGCUCUAUUUAACUGCCACUAGACCAGAUAUUAUGUUUGCUGUGAGUUUGCUCUCAAGAUUUAUGCAUUAUUGUAAUGAGAAGCAUUUUCAAGCAAUAAAGAGGGUGCUCAGGUACAUUAAAGGUAACCUGAGUUAUGGAAUGCUAUAUAGCAAAGCUGAAAGCUUGAAAUUAGUUGGCUAUACUGAUAGUGACUGGGCUAGUUCGAUGGAUGACAUGAAGAGCACCUCAGGGUAUGUUUUCACCCUUAGUUUAGCCAUCUUCUCUUAGAGUUCGAAAAAGCAAAAUGUUGUUGCUCAGUCAACUGCUGAAGCAGAAUAUGCAGCAGCUGCUGGAGCUGUGAACCAAGCUGUCUGGUUAAGAAAAAUCUUGGUUGAUCUGAAUCAACACCAAAAGGGAGUAACAGAGAUAAAAUGUGACAAUCAAUCUGCUGUUGCAAUUGCAAAGAAUCCAGUUUUUCAUGGAAGAACAAAGCACUUCAAUAUUAAGCUUCAUGUUGUUAGAGAAAUGGAGCAAGCUCGAGAGGUGGAACUGGUUCACUGCAAUUCUGAAAAUCAAGUUGCUGACAUCUUGACAAAACCCCUUAGUGUGUCUGUAACACCCCUAACCCACAUCCAUUAUCGGAACAGGGUUAUAAGAUGUUACCGAAGUUUACGGAAUAAUUAUACAAAAAUCCCAUUAUUUACCUAUAUUCACAUCAAAGCUGUCCACUCGAGUCAUAGUCACUAAAUUAUUUAUAUCUGGAGCUAUGGAACUCCAAAUUAAGACUCGAUAAUUUUCCCUGAAGCUAGACUCACGUAUCUUCCUACCAUAAAAUUUUCAGAAUUUUUGGUUUAUCCAAUAAGUACAUUUUAUUCUUAAAAUUCUCCCCUAUUUCACUGCUUGAUUGUUUUGACCACUCUUCACUAAAAUUUAAUUAUCUCUCUUUACAGAAUACAAAUAAUGUUAUUGGUUGUUUUUUGUAAAAAUAGACUCAUUAAAAAAUCUAACCAUAUAUAUUAUGUCCCAUAAUUAUUUUUGUACAUUUUUUAAUGAAUUUUACCAGUCAGAACAUGGGAGCUCGAAAUCACUCUGACCUUAUCUCAUAAAAAUUCGAAUAUCUCCUGAUAUGAAAGUAUUUUGCUUACACCGUUUCUUCUAUGUGAAGCUAGAUUCAAUAGGAUUUAAUUUCAUAUCUUAUUCAACCUAUAAUUAGAUUUUCAUAAUUUAUGGUGAAUUUUUAAAGUCAAAAUACUGCUACUAACCAAAAACUAUUUUAGUACAAAAUAUUGUUAACUAGUUUAUAACAUCUUUUAAAACGCAAAAUUCACUAAUUCAAAAAUUCUUUUAAAUUCGCGCUUGGCCCAUAAUUAUUAUUUAUUAAAAUUUCUAAACUUACUCAUUGGAUUUUGUGAUCUCGAAUCACUAUUUCUGACAACACUGAAAAAUUUGGCUAUUACAAAUAAGGCUGAAAAAUUUGAUUCAUUAAAUCCAUAAAUGCAGUAGGGGCAUUUGUUAAACCAAAAGGCAUUAUUAAAAAUUCGUAGUGACCAUACCGAGUUCGAAAAGCAGUCUUUGGCACAUCACACUCUUUAACCUUCAACUGAUAAUUCCUAGAUCUAAGGUCUAUCUUUGAGAACACUGCAGCACCUUUUAGCUUAUCAAACAAAUCAUCGAUACGAGGUAAUGGAUAUUUAUUUUUAAUUGUUACCUUGUUCAACUGUCUGUAAUCAAUACACAAUCGCAACGAGCCAUCUUUCUUUUUCACAAAUAAGACAGGUGCCCCCUAAGGUGAUGUACUCGGUCUGAUGAACCCUUUUAUCCAAGAACUCUUGCAAAUGUGUCUUCAACUCUUUUAACUCAGCCGGUGCCAUUCUAUACAGUGUUAUUGAUAUCGGAGCUGUAGCCAGAAUUAUAUCAAUUACGAAUUCUACCUCACGAUCUAGGGGUAAACCAGGUAAUUCCUCAGGAAACACAUCAGUAAACUCAUUAACAAUUGGAAAUUGUUCCAUCUUCAAUUUAUAACCUCGAAUAUCAAGAAUAUAAGCUAAAAAUGCUUCAUUACCCUUCCGAAUCAAUUUCCGAGCUGCAAAAAUAAUUCUGAUAUUAUUCUUUUUAUCCCCAAACUCAGCUGAAACUAUUUCCCCUGUCUAACAUUUUAAAUCAAUUCGUUUUUCUCUACAAUUCACUAUGGCAUCGUGUUUAAUCAACCAAUCCAUUCCAAGAAUAACAUCAAAUUCUCGGAAAGCUAACAACAUUAAAUCAACAGAGAAUUCACAGCCUUGUAUUUUCAGUAGACAAUUUCGACAUAUUAAAUUAACUAACACAUUUUGCCCUAGCGGAUUAGUGACUUAUACAUCAAGGUCAGUGGACUCAACAGUCAUUUUCUUUUCUAACACUAAUGCAGUGCAAAUAUUUGAAUGCGUAGAUCCAGGAUCAAUUAAAGCAUACACAGAAUCAUCAAAAAGAUAGAAAUUACCAGCUAUCACAUCUGGAGCAGAAGCUUUUUCCCUUGCCCGGAUAGCAUAUGUACGUGCAGGUGCUCUUGUUUCUGAUCGGGCUGUAGUAUCUCUUGUUCCCAAACGAACAAUGUGACAGCCCUAAUUUGACCCUAGUCAGAAAGUGGUUUCGGGACCACAAAAUCUAGUCACAAAAAUAAUUAAACGUUAUAUUCUAUGCUUAUUAUAUGUGUAAGUGCAUGUGUGAAAGUUUCAUGCUUUGAUUUUGUCAUUUGUAUGUGAAAUUUAUUAAAUAGGACUUAUGUGAGAAAUUUUGAAAAUGUGAUAGGUUAAAUUGUAGUGGUCUAUUAAUGCAUGAAAAAAAAAAGAAUGGACUUGCAUGUCAAAUUAUCCAUUUUAAGAUAGUGGCCGGCCAUGUUGUUAUUUAAUAUAAAAUAUAUGUAUUAUCUAUUAGUAUUAUGGCAACUAAAUGGCUUUAUAUUUUAUAAUAAUGAUAAUUAAAAAUAGAAAAAAAGGGUGAAGAAAACAAAGUGUUCAUCUUUGUUCUUCUUAACCAAUUUUAAAGAAAGAAAAAGGAGCAAAACCAUUCGGUCAUCUUAAGCUUGAAACAAGGUUAGUAAUUCAAGUUAGAUUUUGAAAUUUUAGCUUAUUUUAAGUUAGUUAACAAGUUCCUUACUUAGCCCAUGUCAAAAUUUUGAAUUUGGGUGAUGAUUUGAUCAUUCGGCCAUGGUAGAUAAUGAAGGGGUUAGAUUAUUGUCCGUAUAUUUUGAUGGAUAAUUGUUGAUGAGAGAAGUUUGAACUAGUUAAAAUUUAAAUUGCUAGUACUUAUAUGUGUAAUAGUCGAACUUGAACUUGAUAAAUGACUUGAACAAAUGUUUUGUAUUAAAAUGUUAGAAUGUGAGUAAUUGCCGUUUGGGUGAUUUGGAAAAAAUAAAGUAAAUGUUUGAAUGUCUAAAGGUUCGGCUUUAUGCAUUAAUUUAAUGGUAUGAUUUUGAAUAAUGUAAGUAAUGGAAUGUGAGUAAUGUUUAUGCAUAAGUGAAAUUAUAUAUGUUCGGCCAACCUAGGUCUCUAUGAUAUUGAAAACGGAAAUUAUCAUGUUAAAUGAUGUACGGCAGUGGACUAAGUAUUUAUUUGUAUCUUACAUAUAUAUGUUAGGAUGAUGAUUGAUAGGUGAGAAUUAAGCUUAGUUAUAAGGUAUAAAUAUGUUAAAAUAAAUGUUGUAUGUGGUUCGUGAUUAGUUUUAUUGACUAAACAAUGUGCUUUGUUUCGUUAAGGGUAAGUAUGACUUUGGCAUAUGAGUAAAUGUAUAUCAUGUAUGUAUAUAUAUUGAUUUGGUUGAAUAUAAAUGGUAAAUUUUAUAUCAAGCUUAUAUUAAGGAUACAAUUAUAAUAAACACAUUUAUCAUGAAUACAAGAACCUUCAGUCAUAUAGAUUUUUAUGUAUGUCUUUAAGUUAAUAUGAAUUAUGGUGUUUAUAUUAAGACAUGUGCACUUGACCUUUCUAUUUGUUUAAUUUUGUAUGUUACUAUGUGUCUCAGAUGUGUGCAAGGUGUUUACAAUUGUGAGUGUUACUUACCCUGUUAUGUGGCUAAAUGGUUAAGUUGAUUUUGGAAUCUGUCUUAGUUGUGAUAAUUUCUCCACUUAAAUUCGGUUUGGUGUAGGCAGAGUAUGAGCUUAAUAGGGUUUAUAUGUUGUGAAUGAAUGAAACUUUAGUUAAGCUAUUGUGUGAUAUGUGCUUUAAAAUAAAUGAAUUAUGCAUGUGGUCUUGAGAGUGUGUAUAAAGAAAAUGUUAACUUGUUUGUAUCUUAAUGCCGAAUGAAAUAUUUGGCCAAGGAAUGGUUCAAAUUGAUGAAAAUAGAAAGGUCAAAGAUGACCUAUAAAGUAUUUUAUUUUUUGUUUACUAUGAUCUAUAUAUGUGAAAGUCGAAUAUGUAUAUAUAUUAUAUUUUGAAGUAAUGCUUGAAUAGUCGAAUAAUGAUUAGUUUAAAAUUUUCUUUUGAAUUAAGCUCAAGAGCAUAGAGGGACAAAUUCGGAUAAGGGAAAAGCUAAAGUAGUUGAGUAGCUGACCCGUAGUUGUUCAGAAAAUACUCGAGAUAAGUUUUCAGUGUUUAAACAUAAGCUUUUUAUGAAUGAAUCAUGAUAUGUCACGAGAAAUUUGCCAUACUUUUAGCUUAUAUAUAUACACAUACUUGAAGCCGAAUAGUAUGCAUGUGAUUUAAAUAAGGAAAUUUGUUAUGAUCAUCUUGCUGUGAGAUGUAUUCCUUAGAUGGGAGAUAUGUAAUGGUAAAUUAAGAAGCAAUAGUGUGAUAGUUAUCAAGUGAUUAUACGUGAAUGAAGUUAAAGAGGACUAAUGUGAUUAGCUUAUGUGAAAUGCAUAAAUAUAAGAAGUGUAUAUGUUAUGAAUUUGUGAAAUUUGUAUUCGAAUUAUUAUUCGGGCCUAUGGCUCAGCAAGCUUUUAGCAGGUGGAGUUGUUUCGGGCCAUGAGCCUAGGAGGCAUAAUGUCGGUGAAUGAGUUUCAGACUUAAUGUCUAGCAGGUCUCGUGCCGGUGAUAAAUUCAGGUUUAUACCUAGCAGGCCUCGUGCCGAUGUUAAGUUCGAGUUUAUACCUAGCAGGCAAAUUGCCGGUGAAACAAUAAAAGUCUAUGAAUAUGAUAUUAAACUAUACGAUAUCUAGAUUCAUUCGAUAGAUUAAAUUGUCCAGGUACGUAUAAAUUGUUACUAUACGAUAUCUAGAUUCAUUCGAUAGAUUAAAUUGUCCAGGUACGUAUAAAUUGUUAUACAUAUGAAGAGAUGUGAAUUAAAGUAUAAAUUGAAAUGAGAAGUAUAGGGAAGGUAGUUGUGUAUAUUUAUAUUCGACCGUCUUGAAUUUAGUACAUGGAAGUAUAUGUUAUAUACAUAUAAUUAUGAUCAUUGAAAUUAUAAGGUUGAAUCGAUGAGUUACUACGAGUCAUUUAGAAGCUAUGAUUAUGAAAUUCGAACUCUGAAGAAAUAAUAAGUAGUUGAAAUGGAUUUUACGUGGUUAUAUACUUUCGGUCAAUUGGUAUUAUAUUUCGAAUAUGAUAUAAUGUGUAUAAAUAAGUUUUGUUGUUUAAGAUACUUAAGACUUACUAAGCUUAAUGGCUUACUGUGAAUGUUUUGUGUUGUUCUAUUUUAUAGAUUUUGUUGAAAGCUACGAGCUCGAGGAUUUCAAUUUCAAAAUCAUCUACACUAUCGUCACUGUUUUGGUACUUUUGAUAGUUUCUAUUUUGAGAUAUGGCAUGUAUAGGCUUAACUCUCCUUAGUAAAGUAAGUUAUAUUUUGAAAUUGUAAAUAUUUUAGCCAUGCGAAAAUGGCUUGCUAAUUUCCUAAAUAUUAGUUUAUGGUUCUAUGGACUUAUGUGUCAAAUAUCUUGAAAAUUAUUAGUUACUUUAGCUUUGGUUAAAUUUUAUUCAUGGUUGAAUGAUUAAAGAAACUAUAUUUUGUUAUGCAUGAUUGAUUAUGAAUGGCUAGUUUGAUCUGUUACUGUUUGGUAAUACUUUAUGAAUCUAUCCAAGCGACGGAUAAGAGUAUAGGGUGUUACAUUUUAUUGGUAUCAGAGCUACGGUUUAGUCGAUUCUAGGACUAACGUAGCGUUUGUGAGUCUAGCUAUAAUGCCAUUUAGUGUUAAUACGAUAGUAUGAUGAUUUCUGACAGUUGAAAUGUGUUUUUCGUAUAGUAAUGGAUUCUGAUCCCGAUCGAGCAGUAGCUGACGAUGUCGAGAGUGUAGCACCUACUCCUGCACACGGGACAGCACCAAUUGACUCUCAACUAAAUGCAAGUAAUCAAAAUGAUGAGACUAAACAAGCCUUUUAUGCUAUGAUGAACGAUUGGUUUACCCAAUAUGUUCGAACUAAUCCGGCUAUUGCACAACCCCCACCCCCGACUAAUAUAAACCCUGCACCUGUGGUACCUCCGAUAGUCGACCCAUUGAGAUUAAGCAAGCCCCCGGUAGAUAGAAUUUGAAAGCACGGGGCUACUGAAUUCAAGGCUACUGACAGUGAUGAUGCCGAGCAGGCUGAGUUUUGGCUCAAUAACACCAUUCGAGUGUUUGAUGAAUUAUCGUGCACAACCGAUGAGUGUUUAAAAUGUGCUAUAUCUCUGUUGUGUGAUUCUGCCUACUAUUGGUGGAAUACUUUAAUUUUUGUUGUGCCUAGAGAACGGGUUACUUGGGAAUUCUUUCAAACUGAGUUCCGCAAGAAAUAUAUUAGUUAAAGAUUCAUCGAUCAGAAACAGAAGGAAUUUCUUGAGCUCAAACAGGGCUCUAUGACAGUUACUGAUUACGAACAAAAGUUUUUCAGACUUAAUAGAUAAGCUCGGGAAUGUGUCUCGUUUGAGGCUAUCAUGUGUAAACGUUUCGAGGACGGGUUGAAUAAAGACAUUAAACUGUUGGUGGGUAUUCUGGAAAUCAAAGAGUUUGUAGUGCUUGUCGAGCGAGCUUGUAAAGCCGAAGAGCUCAGUAAAGAAAAAAGGAAAGCUGAUGAUGGAGCUAGAGAGUUCCGUAAAAGAUCUUCAGGAAAACCCUUUCAUCAGUCAUCAAAGAAAUUUAGGGAUGACUCAGGCCGAUCUAAGAAUACAUCGGGUUUUUUUGGACGGGACCGUGAUCGACCCCCUGUGAGUACACGAGCCACCUCUGUUGCCAGUGUUAGCAAUGAUCGUCAGGACAGAUCUGAGUGCAAACAUUGUGGCAAAUGGCAUUCAGGAAGCUGUAGAUUUCAUGACGCUCCUGUUUCAAAUGUGGAUCAUCUGAUCAUUUUAUUCGAAACUGUCUAAAAUUAGAUGAUCAGAAUACUGAUCCGAGUGGGAAACCUAGUAACACUGCAACACGAGGUAGACCACCUAGACCCGCAAGUAAUGCUAGUGGAAAUCAAAGAGGGACUAAAAAAACUGUUGUACGUUCUGAGGCUCGUGCCCCUGCUAGAGCCUAUGCUAUACGAGCGCGUGAGGAUGCUUCUUCGCCAGAUGUUAUUACUGGUACUUUCACUCUUUUUGAUACUGAUAUUAUUGCUUUGAUUGACCCCGGUUCUACUCAUUCAUAUGUGUGUGAAACUUUGGCAUCCAGUAAGACUCUACCUUUGAGUCUACUGAGUUUGUGAUUCAGGUGUCAAAUCCUUUGGGCCGUUAUGUGUUAGUUGAUAAAGUGUGUAAGAAAUGUCCCCUGAAGAUCCGAAAUUUUUACUUUUCGGCUGAUCUAAUGCUAUUACCGUUUGACGAGUUUGAUGUCAUUCUCGGUAUGGGCUGGUUAAUUGAGUAUGAUGCAGUAGUGAAUUGUAAGCGAAAGAUAAUUGACUUGAGGUGUUCAAAUGAUGAGAUAAUCCGAGUUGAGUCUACUGAUUUAAAUGGAUUACCGGCAGUGAUAUCUUUGAUGUUAGCUCAGAAAUAUGUGAAAAAGGGGUGUGAAGCUUAUCUUGCGUAUGUUCUAGAUAGUAAAGAGUUUCAAAAGAAACUUGAGACAGUGUCAGUAGUUUGUGAGUUUUCGGAUGUAUUUCCAAAAGAAUUACCGGGAUUACCACCUAUUCGGGAGGUAGAGUUUGGCAUUGAACUAGUGCCAGGGACUACACCUAUUUCGAUAGCUCCGUAUCGUAUAGCACCGACCGAACUAAAAGAAUUGAAAUAUCAGUUGCAAGAAUUGACAGAUAAAGGUUUUGCUCGACCGAGUUUUUCUCCCUAGGGUGCACCAGUGCUGUUUGUGAAAAAGAAAGACGGAACUAUGAGAAUGUGUAUUGAUUAUCGUCAACUUAAUAAGGUAACAAUAAAGAAUAAAUAUCUGUUGUCGUGAAUCGACGAUUUGUUUGAUCAACUGAAAGGAGCCUCAGUAUUUUCGAAGAUAGACUUGAGAUCGG